rnacentral:lncRNA from 1 species
UUUUUUUUUUUUUUUUUUGUCUUUUCUCUAUUUCACAGUGUUUCAAUAACUUUUUCUUUUUCUACUUCAGGAACAUUUGGGCAAGUGUUAGAAUGCUUGGAUAGUGAGAAAAAAGAGGUUGUAGCUAUUAAAAUUGUUCGAUCAAUAAGCAAAUAUCGUGAGGCUGCCAUGAUUGAAAUUGAUGUCCUUCAGAGGCUGGCUAGGCAUGAUAUUGGAGGCACCCGGUAAGAUUUGUUGAAUCUCACUUCACUCUUUUUGUUGGAGAAGUUUCAUGUAAAUAUUAGUAUAAGUGGUUUCAUUCUUUGCAGUUGUGUGCAAAUUCGGAAUUGGUUUGACUAUCGUAAUCAUAUAUGUAUUGUAAGUAUUUGUUAAUAUCUCCUGAUUUGAUUAAUUUGGAGGGGCAAUGCUAGUUCCUGCAUGCCUGAGUAUUGUGUGAGUUAAAAGAAAACUUGCGGAUGAAUUUAAAUGGUUUGGACAGGUAUUUGAGAAGCUUGGACCAAGCUUAUACGAUUUUCUUCGCAAAAACAGCUACCGUUCAUUUCCGAUUGAUCUUGUUCGGGAGUUUGCCAGACAACUUCUGGAGUCUGUAGCAUGUGUGUGAAUAAUUUUUGCAUUUUUUCUGUUAUUUACUUGAUGUUGAAUACACCUAAAGGUGGAUUCUGGAAUUGGAAUUGCUUAUUGAAAUCAUGGCAGUUUGUUUGCUGGAGCAUGAAAUAACAUAUACAUUCGAAUGUCUGUCUUACUGGCCCUUUAAAUGAUUUUCUGUAGUUAUGCACGAGCUACGGCUAAUUCACACUGAUUUGAAGCCAGAGAAUAUUCUUCUUGUUUCCUCAGAGUUCAUUAGAGUUCCAGAUCAUAAGGUAUAGCGAUUGCUUUCAAUUUCUCUGGGUCAUAGAAGGACAAUAUUCUUGCAUGGUUGAGAUAUGUUACUCUCUUUAAAAACUGACCUCCUGCACUCUAGUUUUUAUCACGUUCAGUGAAAGAUGGUUCCUAUUUCAAGAAUCUUCCGAAGUCGGCUGCUAUCAAGCUCAUUGAUUUUGGAAGUACCACGACUGAACAUCAAGAUCACAGCUAUAUUGUUUCGACACGUCAUUAUAGGGCACCUGAAGUUAUCCUGGGUACCUCUUUUUUCUCUUGCAGUAACAUUUGUUUAUCGGUUGGCUAUGCUUUGCCCUUUAACUGCACACUGUUUUUAUUUUGUCUACAGGUCUAGGUUGGAACUAUCCUUGUGACCUAUGGAGUGUCGGAUGCAUACUUGUUGAACUUUGUUCUGUGAGUAUCUUCUUGUAGACUAGGUUAAAAUAUUCUGUUCUUUGAUUAGAUUUUUUUUAUUCUCAAACAAAUUGCACUUUGAUUCAAUUUCAAUCUGUGACCAAGAAUGUUUGGAAAAUUAGACUUUCCUUCUUUUUUGGCCCUUCCAUUUUGGAAGAUUCCUGAUAAAUAUUAUCAUUAAGUAUUUUGGUGACAAAAUUUAUAUGAUCUAUUAUCUCGGUUACAGUUAUUUUGGUAAUUGGCCACAUUAAGUUGUUUUAACUUUUUUUGGAUAUUAUGAAUUUCGUUUUUAUGUUCUCUGAUUAGUCUGGAUUUUUUUAACCUUUCCAUUUUAUUAUUUUCUUUUGCUUGAUGAGCAGGGCGAAGCACUUUUUCAAACGCAUGAGAACUUGGAGCAUCUUGCCAUGAUGGAGAAGGUUUUGGGCCCGUUGCCCCAACAUAUGGUUCUCCGUGCAGAGUAAGGAUUUUGUUCUCCUUUUAUUAAUUUUUUGGGUUGACUUUUCGACAAAGCCCUCACCAUUCUUUUAUUUUUGUGUUUUACCUUUUGCAGUCGCCGUGCUGAGAAAUACUUCAGGCGAGGCAUGCAGCUAGAUUGGCCUCAGAGUGCAACAUCUCGAGAAAGCAUGAGAGCAGUCUGGAAGCUACUGAGGCUGCCUGUAAAUAUUUCUAUCUUUCAUUUUCACUUGCCAUCAAUUUCUUUAUGUAAUCCUAGGUGUAAUUCUUUAGUGGUCUCUUAUGAAAUGUUCGAUGCAGAACCUUAUAAUGCAGCACGUUGAUCACUCGGCUGGUGAUUUGAUUGAUCUCCUGCAAGGCCUCUUACGUUAUGAUCCAUCAGAGAGGCUCAUGGCAAGAGAAGCACUAAGACAUCCUUUCUUCACUAGGGAUCUAAGAAGGUGUGGUUACCCCUUGUAGUUCUCUCAUUCACAUUUUAAUCAAAGAGUGAGCCGCUAUCGAGGGAGAAAGAAAGAAAGAAACUUUAAAGCGAUGAAUUGUUUCACCAAUAAGCUCAUCAUCUCUUUCUUUUUUCUUUUGUAAUCGUCAAAAUUCUUGUGUAGUUAAAAUUGAAAAGAUGAUUCAAUCACACUCCCAUUUCUUCCCCCAUUUUACUUUUCUACAUAUUACCACAUCUAUUCCUGAUAAAUUCCUAGUUUGGUUGUGGAGGUUUUUAUGCAAAACCACAAAAGUAAUGUACUAAUAUUCUUUUGUUUUUCUUUUUUGGUAUUGAUAUGUACUCUGGCUAGUUCAUUAUUUCCAGGUAAGCUUGGACAAGGACUAACAGUUGGAAUGUAGAUAGCAAACUAAAGACUGACGUGGAAUUGAAACCCGAGAGGCAAGACUAGCCGAAAAGAGCGUGUCUAAGAGUGAAUGAGCUUUUGACCCACCGUACUGUUUUUUGGUUACAACAGAUACAGAAUAGGAAAGCCAAACACGAAGAUGGAGGUAACAGGAAACGAUUGAGAACAUGCUGAGUAUAUAUAAAAAUUUGAAACCUCUGUUGGAGAUGGGAAUUGGAAAGAAGGCCAAUUAUUUUGUAGGAGGUUUUUUUGAUCAUGUGAAUGACGAAAGUUACUGGCAAUCAAUUGAUGAUGGUGUUCGGCUUUCAGGCUUUUUUAUUGCCUAGCAAUUGGUAAAACAUCAUGCAAGAAUGGCGUUAUGCGCCUUUCAACGACCAACCCAAAGGCCCUCGGAAAAUAUAAGAGUUCAAACCGGAGUUUGAAGAACCACUUUUUAAGUGUUUAUUUUUUUUUUUCUAUUAAAAAUGAUUUGAAAAUAAAAAUAAUUACGAGCAGGAAUUUAAUUGAUUUUCUGAAUUGAGUAAAAGAAACCCAAGUUUUUUUUCUCAUGUUUAGUAUUAUUUGCUCUUUCUUAUUUUUUAAGAAAAUAAUAACUGUUUAAGUUUGAACUAUGGAAAAGUCAAUUAAAAAAAAAGAAGAGGAAUUUAGUUUUUUUUCUCUAUUCCUUAUAAUAUAUUUGAAACUGGUUCCUAUUUAUUCUUACAAUUUUCUACUACAUCUGCCAAAAUCUGUAGCUAUUUUUAUUUGUUUUUCAAUUGUUAUCAAGUUUUGUUACGAUUUUCUAAAAUGUGCUAUAGAACACAAGCGUAAAAUAAAAAAGCAUAGAAAUUUAAUGAUGACAUUCAAGAAAAUAAUUUAUUUAAAACUUGAUACUUGAAAUAGAACAAAAUGUAUUAUUAAUCUCGAAAGAAGAAAACCAAAUAACGAAACUUGAAAUGAAAGAAAAAAACAGUUCACCUGAAUGAAAAAUAAUAAAAAAAAAUUGUGAGCUAAAGGAAUGAGGCCUUUGCAAAUAUAAAUAUUUUUUUUCGAAAAUGGCGCCAAUUAUAAUUGGCUUCUUUUGUCUUUCCUGUUAAACGACGUCGUAGGGGGUAUAUUAGACCAAGAUUCCUGUACGGCAGUCGGCCGUCGUCGUUAUUCUUCAUCAUCUACAUUGUGUGCAACGUGAUCCGGGUUUUGGAGCGCUGUAAAUCCCAUUCCUCUACUCCCAUCCGCCAUGGAUUCUCUCGGAAGACUACAAGACUGCCACCACUUACCGUCGUUUUCAAGACCACUUUCGUCACUUAGCUUCAGAACCCGACUGUCGGUACCGUCGUCGUCGUCUAAAUCAUCAUCCAGAGCAUUUCCCUCGUUCCAAUCGUCCUCCUUUGACUCAGUUUUCCGAACUCCGCAACGGCCCAGAUCCUCACUUCCCCUAAUUCUAGACCCUAUUUCCUCAUCCAUCCUCAAAACCACCAGCGUUACUCUUACCGCGGCCGCCGCUUUGUUUUUCAUGCGGUUUUGCGGAAAACCUGCUAUUGCAGCCCCCAUUCCUCCGCCUACGGUGGAUUCGGUGAAGGAAUCGAUGAAAGACGAAGGUUCUCGUGGAGAGAAAGAGACGGUACUUGAAGAAGAAUUGGUGAACGAUUCUGUUGAAGCUCUUCGAUCGCUCAUUGAGGUAAAAGUUAAGGCUCGGAAGUUUCCUGAAGCUAUUAAAAUUCUAGACCGUUUAAUAGAACUUGAGCCCAAUGAUUUAGAAUGGCUAGUGUUGAAGGCCAACGUUUAUAGUCAUGUGGGUAACUCUGAAUUAGCGAGAAAUGAGUUUCAGAAGAUUUUAGAGAAGGAUCCUUUUCAAGUUGAGGCUUAUCAUGGGCUUGUUAUGUUAACAGAAACAUCAGAUAUUGAUUCAUUGAAGGCGAUUCUGAACAGGGUUGAAGAAGCAUUGGAACAUUGCAAAAAACAUAAAGGCAAGUCUGAGGAAAGGGAUUUUAAGCUCUUGAUAGCUCAGAUUAAAGUUAUGGAAGGAAGUUACUCUGAAGCUUUGAAAGAUUACCAGGAACUUAAGAGGGAAGAACCAAGGGAUUUUAGGCCAUACUUGUGUCAGGGAAUUCUUUAUACCCUGCUUAAGAGGAAUGAUGAGGCCGAGAAGCAAUUUGAGAUAUUUCGAAGACUUGUUCCAAAGAACCACCCUUAUAAAGAAUAUUUUGAUGAAAACAUGUUUGCAGCCAAGCAUUUCGUACAGCAGAUUGAGAGGGAUGCAGCCGCUUCGAAUAAUUGAUUGUCUUUUUAUAAUAUCUUCAUGACUUUCUGGUUCUGUAACCGAUGGUUUUGUUGCUUAAAAACUGUCAUGGUUAGUUGAAAUUAAGAGAUGAAAGGUAAAUAUGUUGUUAUUCCCAUUUUAGGGAGCUUGAUGAAUGUAGCUGUUUAGCUGAAGUUGCUCUUUGGAUCCCAUUUUUACAUUGCACAUGCCUUGGUGCAUUGAAUUUCAUGUCUAAUCGUAGUACACUUCGAUAAGUUUCUGCAAGAAAUGUAUAACCUGAAAUAAAUGACUGUGCUUUGGACUGAGUUAGAUAAGUUUCUGGCUUGUUCAAAGGAGAAACAUUUUGUAAGUUUGGACUUUGAAUUUCUUUCUUAAAUCUUAACUAGCUGGACAUUGGAAUCGGCUUCUGCAUUGUAUCUUCUCUCUAACAGGGUGACGGAUGAAGAUUAUGCAUUGUAUCUUUUCAUUAUUGCAAAUUGUAAUAUCAUUCACUUGAUUGAUUUUUAGGCCUUUAGUUCUGAUCAAUAAAAGGAUGGUGGUAGUUCUGUUUUCUUUCUUGUUGGUUUCUUUAUAUUUACGUCUAAUUAGCACAGAGUUUAGGAAUGUUAAAUUAUCCUUGAAAAACACCAGAUUACUAUUACUAUUCUUUCAAUUCGUUUUGAUUCGAAGGUGAAUCUCCAUGCUUCGUGGAACUUUGAGAAGAGUUGUGGUGGAUUAGAAUGGGUGAUUCAUGGUUCUCUCGAAUCUCCUAUUUGAAUAGGGUUCUGUAAUUUCACUCAAGAUUGGUUCGCUAAGUUGUUGGAAGCCCAAACGAUUAUCGAGUGUCUCAACCGUCUUUCUUCUGUAUCUUCUUUUAUUGCGGUUGAAUCUUAUGCAGGGAGGUGGUGGAUUUGAUUAACAACUGCUCUCCAAAGUUCGCUAAGGUGGAGUAUGCAAUUGACGAGAUUGGAGCUUUGGGGAGACAUUUGGGUUGUUUUUUUUUAUCCUUCUGUCUUCUUAUUGGAAAUCAGGUUGCUCAUACGUCACUGUAUUGUUCGUCAUGUUGCUGGUUCUUUGGAUAUUUUUUUUGGAGCUUUUCUUAAAAAAGAAGUUCAGAUUGAGGUUUAAUAGUAUGCCUAACUUUAUCGAAGAGGAAGGCUUUAGAUUUGAAAAAUGUAAUGGAGCCACAUUGUAUGCUUUUUGAAUAUUUUAGGUCAUCACCUACUCUCAACUUUUGUGGCCGUAUGUCUCUUCCAUGCUAGACAUUUCCCGUAACAUCUGCCCUUUUGAAUGCAAAACAUAAUUUUCUACCCUGAGAGGAAUUUGCCUCUUUUUCAUUUUACUAUUACAUUACACUUGUUGAUGUUAGACGAUUCUCAUGGAAUAGUGUUUAUAUUUCUUUUGAAUUGUAAAAAUGAAGGUUUGAGCUUCAUUUCAUUUAUGUCAUAUCGCAUUAAUUCAUCUGGACCAUGCAGUUGCAGAAAGCAAAGUACAAGUGGAGGCUUGGAGGCCAACAAUUCCCCUCUGGAUACGACACAAAAGGUUGGUUUAUACAUUUACUUGUCUUCAGUCAUAUUGAUGGCUGGUUUCAUGUGCGUACUCAUUGCUUCAUAUAGCAAAUGUCAAUUAAUUUUCUGUUUUCUUUUUUUACAUUUAUAACUAUGAUGAUCAUUGAAACAACUUGUUGAUUGUUCAGGUUGAAUAUAGUAUUGCACUUCUUGGUUUAAUGUAGACAUUGGGAUGAAUUUUGGAAUAUAGGUUUUAUAUAAGAUUGAGUUUAACAAUAUCAGGUUGGUUGUUUGGUCCUUGAGUUCUGAAUUUUGUGUUUAGUAGGUUGGUUGAUCUAUUCAACGUUUUAUUUUAAUUACGAACAUUAGGAACAUUAGAUACAAAAUUGAAAGCUGUAUGAUCAUAGAAUGAAUGGAUUGCCUUAAACUUGUCUUUUUCUUUUGAUAUCUGUGAGUGUUUGGACAACCCUCUAACAUACAAACAUUUGGGCUUGGUGACUAUGAUUGUACUCAUCACGAGAUUUCUUAGUUAAGUAUUGAGAUUAUGUCACUAAGUCGAUCCUUGUUCGUCGUGCAUAGGGAAAAAAAAAGAUAAAUGAUAAAAGGGAAUCUGAAAUUGGAGGGCCGAAAAUUGGGAUUUGACCUCAAAGAUGAUGCUCCACUCUUAGCAAAUUUACCUUUUUCCUUUUUAGUUUAAACCCAGAACUCUUGUCUCCUUCUUGGAAUACUCAAACAUUUCUACUAUACUUUUCUUUUUCUUUUCACAUUAUUUUCAUUCAAUUUUUGUACCUUCAGAUUUUGAAAUUUUGGGGUUACAUUUUGGUUUUUGUUUCUUAUUUUUAGAUUUUAGAUCUGGAAUUCAUAGUUAUAUAAUUUAGGAUUUCCAGUAGAAAAUGUUUUUACUGUGUUGUGUGUUCCUCUAAUUGCCUUCAUUGGUUACUUUUUCUUGAGUGUCAUUUUCACCUAUAGUAAAAUGAACAUUUUUUUUUCAUUCAAAAUACAUUACAGUGAUAGUUUACUUUAUUAUUUAUUACUUGAAAUUAAGUAGUGGUCUUUUGUUGUUUUUUUUCUUAAAAAAGAAUACAAAUGAUUUAAUGCAAAGUUCUCUUAAAGCAAAAUAAAUAUUGUAAAUGUUCUUAUCCUUUUUAGAAAAAUAGGUGGGGUCUUCCAAUAUAUUUUUUUUAUCUCUCCUCUUUUUAAGAACAUUUUAUUAUUUUAUUUUAUUUUAGCUGUUCUAAUUGUUAUAUACCUAUAUUUAUGCCCACAAAAAAAGGUUAGUUUCCAGAAACAAUCAAUGAUUAAAAUUAGUAAAAUUCCUAAUCUUUAUUUUGACUUUGGAUUAUAACUUUAAAAAUCAAAUCCCUAAUGUUGUUUAGUAUGGGCACGAGUUAAAAUGUCGACGUUGAUUUUAAUUAUAUAAUUAUGGAUAUAUUUAUAAAUGAUUGCUAUCAAAAUUUAUAAAAAUCAUUUAAAUUUAUGAUUGAGAUGUUUUUGCUCCUAAAUUAAAUGAGAUUAAUAGAAGAUAUUAAAGAGAUUAAUACUAAUCCUUAUUGUUAACGUCAAACUCUUUUAAUUACAAACAUAUUAGCGUAGAUUUCAAUUCAAUAACAAGUAUCUGAACCUUCAAUCUAUGAGAUUAUUGGGUUAAUUAUAAAAAUUUCAAAAUGAUAACAAAAUUUAAAAAAAAAUUCAAUCAUCCUUGGAUUGUUGUGAUGAUAUGGUAAGAUUUGUAGUAGACAUGGCAAAUAAACUUAGGUGAUUGCCCAUAUAUGUCACUUUUGUUUUUUUGUGCUAAGUCUAUCUCUAUAAAGUAAAAGGAAGGUUCAUUUGUCAUUUAUAUAUAUAUACACAAAUGUCCUAUCACUCUCUCCAUGUUUCAUGCAUCUCUCCUUUUUAGUUGCACAAUAAAACAUAUUCCAAUUUCUAUAAUUUCUUAUGAACAUUUUUGAAGUUUUAGUUUCGAAUUCUUUUCAAUUUUUAAUACCUCUAAGUAAAUUUAUCGAUUUGAAUAGGAUGAAUUUAAGUAAUUUUGGUAGAUGUCUAAAUUUUAAUAUCUUAAUUCGAUUACAUGAUUAUAUUUACGUAUGUGCAAGCUGUGUAUGGAUGGAAGUUUAUUUUGUACAUAAUCUUUAGAAUUGACAUUAUAUUUUGUUAAGAUACUAAAGUAAGUUAUACUAAUAGAAAUAAUUGAUAGCUGUGCCUCUAUAAUUGUGGGAGUCCACCACAAAUCCUUCCCUAAUUUCAUUAUUGUUGUACUUUUGAAUAAUAAUAUAAGAAAAAGCAGAUCUAUUUUUUAUUAAAUUAUAUUACGUGAUUAUUUACAUCAUUCAAUUUGCUUUUGUCUUUUGUAGUAAAAAUGUUGUUAUAUAACAUGAAAAUAUAAAGGAUAAAAAUUACUGGAAAAUUCAUAUUAUUUAAAAACUUAGAAUUAAUAAUCUAACUAAACAAAAUUAGAGAUUAAGAAUAUAAGUGUUUGUUUGAUUGUUUUGUUAGGAUUUUGAAUUUUUUUAAAAUUAAAUGAUUUUUAGCUAGAUUUUAAUUUGUACAAUUUUAGAUAUGAUUGAUUGAAGAAAAGUUCAAAUAAUAUAUAUCUUUUUUGGUAAAGAAAUUUUCAAAAUAAAGAAGAUUGAAGAUUUUAAAAAUAAUUACACAAAAGUCAAGAUGCUUCAUGCCACCAAACUUUUGUAAAUUCAUCCUUCUUUGAAUUACAGUGGAAUUCCAAAUCUACCCCUCUCAGCCAAUUUACAAAACUACCCCUUUUAAUUUCCCUAUCUUUCCUUAUACGAUAGUUUCAAAUGUCGACAUGGCGGCAUAAGCUUCCGACACGUCGACACUUUUUAUUAAGCCAAAUUGGCAUUUCAGUCCAUCCACUUGCCGCUCAUCUUUCUCAAUCCUUCACCAAUUUAAAUGUUCAAAUUCAUUUCUCUUUUUUCUUUUUUUUUUCCUCUCUCCGAUCGAUCCCUCCGGCGUUUCGAUUAACCGGAGCGGAACUUUCUUUUCUUUGAUUUGGAUAGGAUUUGUUCCUGUUCUACUACGCCACACACAUUCCUUAUUUAUUGUUCUUUCCAAUCUCACGAUCUGCGGAUUUUCGGACUGUACCGGAUUUUUUGAAUCUGAGAUUGAGAGGUGUCCUUCAUUUGCUUGUGGUGGAAUUCGAGGUACUCUCGGGGAAUUCGAUCGUGUUUUUGUUGACUGUUCAUUUAUUUAGAAAGUGCUUUUAGAGAAGCUUCGACCUGCUUCGACAAAAUAGGUAGGAGCUCACGGGAAUCACUUGUAUGAGCUUUCUGAACAGUUGUUUUGAAAGGGCGACGUAUUCGAGAAGUCUGUCGUUUCGUUUAGUUUUUUUCGUGAGGAAAUUUCGGUGAAGGAAAAGAGUACAGAAAUGAAUUUGUUUGUUUGUUUGUUUGUUCCUGUGCUUCUGUUGAAUGUACUGAGGUGGGAUAACGUCAAUCCAGUAUUUUCGUUUUUAGGUUUGUGUCACAGUUUUCUCAGCUGGAAAUUUGGGUGUUUUUCUUUUCUUUUCCUGUAAAAUCUUAAUGAACUGAGAAAGUUGCGACCCCCAUUAGUCUGAUUUUUUUUUUUUUUUAUUGUUUUUGAUAAUUUGAUUUGAAAAGCCAAGGAUUUGAUGUUUUGGUGUUAAUUGGUAUGGUGGUACUUUCAACUUUUCCUUUUGAGAAGAGAUAGAAUUGAGUAAUUGGAAAGAAUUUUUGUUUAUAUGUAUUUAUUGUUGUUUCUACUGUCGUCUGUUGCAGUUUGUCUGCAAUAUCAAGUCUCGGUGGUUAUUGCCUUAGCUUGAAUUCUUUGAAAUUAAAGCAGGUUUUCAAGAAGCUACUUUUUGACUUUUUUUUUCCCCACUUUUUUAUUCUUUUGCAGGGUUUUCUUCUUUAUAAAAUCAUCUCUUUCCGUAAUAAUUUUUCUGGAUGUAACUGAGGCGCGUGAAAGUAAGUUGCUCGGCAAAGUUAUCGCCAUGCAGGUACUUUCCGAAGUUCACCUUUAAAUUGAAUUUCAUUUUUGUUUUUGUGAACUCUUCAUUCCUCCCUUUGUUCUGCUUCUCUUUAUCUCCUUUUCUGUCCUUGUGUUUUUUACAUAUUUCCUGUAAAUUUAAAAUGAAUAUCUUUGGUUUGUUUUAGAACAUUGGAUUCUUUCUGUAGCAACACUUGAUUCCUUGAUAAAUCCUUUCAAAUUUCACUUUUUAAACUUGGGAUAUUUUAUUCCUUUCAAAAAGGGAAAAAAAAAAAAAAAACUCUGAUCCUUCACUCCUUUCUGGUUUACCGGAUUUUCCAGGUAAGAGCCAGGUUUUCAAAUCUCAUCAGCAGCUGAUUAUAUGUUGGUUGAACUAUGUGAUAUGGUCUAUACUACUUCCUUCAUCAAGUGGGUUUAGCUGAUUCCCCCUUGUUUUUGGUCGUUCUGUAGAAUGAAAAUGAAAACCGAACUUUUGGUUGGUAAAAUGAAUUCAAAAAUUGUAGUCCACGCUUAAGUUGAAGUGGGAGUUCUUUAAAGCAAGGUUAAAUAUUUUAGCAGAAGAAAUGUCUAAAGAGGUUGAAUUCAGGAGGUCACCGAGUCCCGUUGCUAAAUUGAUGGGUCUGGAUGGGAUGCCAGUGCCGCAUCGGCAGUCGUCUUAUAAACAACAGAUGACGGCAUCACCUGAAAAAUCUCAGAGGGGCCUUACAUCUGACGACAAUCAAUUGUAUGCACGGAGUUCGAGGCGGCAGCAAAAAUUUAAGGAUGUGUUUGAGGUACAGGAAACAUCAAUGAAAGGAAGCAGCAGUUUCUCAGUACCUAAGAAUUCAAAUCUGAAGCCUUCUCAGACAGAGAUGGAAUACAUUCAGAAGAAGUUCAUGGAUGCCAGACGUCUCGUAACAGAUGAGAAGUUACAGGGUUCCAAGGAAAUUCAUGACGCACUUGAAAUAUUGGAUUCGAACAAGAAACUUCUACUGAAAUAUCUCCAGCAGCCAGAUUCUCUGUUCAUGAAGCAUCUUCUUGACAUAAAUGAUGUUCUUCCUCACUCAAGUUGUAUUCAUAUGGCACCUUCAAAAUCAUCAGAUGAUGAGAAUCAUGGGUGCCAUGAAUCCAGUAGGAAGUUAGCGAGGAGAAAUCCACGGAAGAAGCACAGAAAAUCUCGCAAGCAUUGUAGCAGUCAUGUCAGUCCCUCUGAUUCUAAUUAUGUGGCGAAAUGUCCUGUUAAAAGUUCUAGAAUUAAAUUAGAGGACGACGAAAGAUUGUCUAUCUUUCCGAAAAGAAUUGUUGUUUUGAAGCCAAAUCUUGGGAAGGCGCAAAAUUCUUCUGGUGUUAUACCGUCCUCACAUUCUUUUCAGUCUAGCUGUAGGAAGCCAUCAGAAUUUGAAAGGAUGGAGAUCAGGGGGAUGGAAACUUUGAGGACAAAGAAUCAUGAUGACGGCCUAGGGGUAUCAAGUCAUGAGGUUAGACCUUCUAAAGAAGUUUCCAAGAAAACUAAGCAAGUGAGAGAGAAUUUUGAAUAUAGUUCCAUGAGUUCAUCAUUUGGAACAGCAAGACAUGAUAGGAAUGGAUGUCCUUUCAUUGGGAAUGAUUCGGAGGCUGGGAAAUGCAAUUCCAGCAAUAUGUUUGGCUUAAAUGGUCAACUCCAGUCUUCAUCCUUUCGUUACAAAAAGUCAUCCUUGAGUGCAGAAGCUAAGAAGAGACUAUCAGAAAGGUGGAAAACUACUUGUGACUACCAUAACACAGGUGCGGUUGGUAGGAGUUGCACACUGGCUGAGAUGCUUGCCAUGCCCGAGAAGGAAACUACACCUUCACAUAUGGAACCAAAGCAUCGGGGAGAAUCCAGCGGCAAAAUUUUUAAUGACCAGCGUAUUGAACCUUUCGGCAUAAGUAGUAGGGAUGGCUGGAAGGACAUCUGCUUAGAAAAGUUAUCUAGGUCAAGAUCUCUUCCUGCCUCUUCAACUUCCUUUGAGAUUGUUAAAACAAAUUCCGAAUCUCUGAGGAUGGAUCCAUUUGCGAUACCAAAAGAGGCCUUCAAGUGGGAAAGAAAGGAGGCAAUUAGUGAGAAUUUGUGCCUAAGGGAACAUAUAGGCCGCAGAAAUUCCAGACAUAGGAGAAGAAAAUCUCAUGGUUCUAUCUGCUCACUUGAGGAAUUUAGUGACCCUGUACUGGAGAUUUGCACUAGCCAGAAUCAAGAUAGUGAUUUUAAAGACAAUGAACCAGUCGAUAGGAAUCUUCUGGUUGUUGAAGAAUCAAUACAUUUCCCAGUUCAGGACCAAACUGAAGUUCUUGAAAGUUGGAUGAAUUUGAGAGUGAAAUCUGAAGAGGUGAUUGUAUCCUCCAAUGAGGAACUUCAACUUGAAUUGCCUGUUCAUUCAGUGGUAGAAGAUACUUCUCUCUCUGGGAAUCAGGGCUGUUUUAUCUCUAAGGUUUGUCUUAAAAUAUUCUCACUGUACACCUCAACUGCAUUUGAAAAUUUUCUCCGGUUUAAAACAUUUUGUUAUAUCCAGGGAUUGUCACCAGAAGGAUCUGAAGAUAUUUCAUUCCAAUUGAAAUCUGUAUCUGGAAUAGAAUCUCCUGUAAGCUCAAAGGAGGCUGAGCAGCCCAGUCCAGUUUCAGUUCUAGAACCUCCUUUUGCAGAUGAUCUACCACCUGGUUCUGACUGCUUUGAGAGUCUUAGUGCUGACCUCCAUGGUAAUUACAUUCGGUUACGUUCUCCUUUAGGCAUUUAUUGAAGUGAUUUGGCAGAUGACAUCAACCUAUGUUUGAAAUAAUUCUUAUACGUUUGCCUGUUGGUGUUAUUCAAGACUGAUAUUAUUCAAAUCAUGAACAUAUUGAAUUUUGCUUCGAAUGUGAAAUUGGGUGGUUUUCGUUUGUAUUUGUACAAGUUGUUUGACUCAAUUUUCAUCUUAAUAAGUAAAUGCUUAUAGUUUCUUGUCAUACCAUUGACUCUUCUGAUUAUCAUGCAGUCCAAUAAUUUCCUUUUUUUUAGUUCUCCAAAUUUAGCUAGACUUGCGAUUGAUGAAAAGGAAAAAAAAUAAAAUUAUUGAAUGGACUGAUCUAAUUUUCAUUCAUCAACGAGCAAGAAGAAAUGGAUGAAUAUGAUAUUGAGAAUUGAGAUCUAUAGAGUUACAAUAUAUGAUCUCAUUCAAGUAUUCUGAAAUGAGAACUAGUAAGGUCUCUAUAGAGACUAGAAUCUUAUGGCUUUAACUAUCAUUUACUUUCUGAAGCUGGAUAAGUUUUAAUUUGUUGUCCUGUGUAUCAUGAAUACAGGGCUUCGAAUGCAACUCAAGUUACUCAAGUUAGAGACUGAAGCUUUCACUGAAUCUGAAGAAACACAGCACAUCUCGAGUGAUGAAGAUGGAGUGGAAGGUUCCGUCGAGUCUCCAGAGGAUAAAUAUACAUCCAAUGGUGAAGAUAGCUGGGAGAUUUCAUAUGUAACUGAUGUUUUACAAAACUCGGCUUUUAAAGAUACUGAACCGGACAUGUUUGUUGCAAUGUGGCACUCUCUGGAAUGCCCUGUUGAUCCAUCUACAUUUGAGGAUCUCGAGAAGAAGUACGCGGGUAGGUCUUCUCAACCAAGGUCAGAAAGAAAGCUACUUUUUGACUGUAUAAAUUUAGGAAUUUUGGAUAUUUACCAAAAAUUCACUGACCCUUAUCCAUGGGUAAGGCCCCCAACAAUACAAGUAGGGUAUGGUGAAGGGCUUUGCAAUAAUUUGUGUAAGUUUCUAGCUAAGCAGCAAGUGAAGAAAGUAGAUGAAGACAUUGUAGAGAAAGUGGUGGGAAGGACGAGUCAAUGGUUAGUGUUGGGGUAUGAUGUUGAUGUAAUAGGUAAGGAGAUUGAGAGACUAAUGGUAGAUGAACUCAUAACUGAGGUAGUUGACAUGUAUUUAUAGAUUAUGUAGCUUGAUGUUGAAAUAAGAUAUUAAAGCCUUUUAAAAAAAAUUGCAUGAGAAGAAAAAAAACCAUUCCAUGAUUAAGUGAUGCAUUUUUUAGGUAAUAGGUAAGAAGAAUGCAGUCAGAAUCAAAUUGCUAUUUCUCAUAUAGCUGGACUACUUGGGCAAAUUAUUCAAAAUUAACUUUCUAAGGUUGUUUCUUACUUUUUUAAAAGAUAACAAGAGAAUGAAUCAACAAAUCACGUCAUUGUUAAGAGUAGAGGAUACUCAAAUUAGACCUUCUCCAACAAGCCUUGUAAGAAUUGCUCAACCACAUUCUUUGUUUAGAAAAUGCUAAUACAAAAUGGUUCAAUUAUAAGUUUGUUGUACCGCUACUAAAUUGUUUAUUACUUAUGGAUCAUGCAGUGGGGUGUUAGAUGUAGUUUUGCUUAGUGUCUAGACAAUUUUCCUUUUUAAAUUACAGGAGCUAAAUAAUCUUAUGUAAUAAACUUACAAUGUAAUUUGGGUUUAAUCAUUUAGGCUGAAACUUUACUCUUACCAAGGUUUGAACAGCUUCCAAAAGCCACAUUCUAUGGAAUAUUUUUGGAGAAAGACAAACCUCAUCGAUAACAAAGGCUUUGGGAACAGAAAAGGCAUGGUUGUUUUGUAUUACAGCAAGACAUUGUUAUGGGGAAUCCAAUUCCCUUUCUUUUAAAAAUAGGAUAUUGGUUCUCUUUCUCAAUAGUUUUGCUAGAAAGAUGCCACUCUUUUCCUUACUUAAAGCUUAAAACUUCAAAAGUAACAAAGGAAAAGAGAAUUAAAACUUGAAACUUCUCAACAGCAUGCUCUACAAUCCCAACUUUUUCCAUCUAUGAAAGCAUCAGAGUCCAGUUUUAAACUAGAUGUACAGUAAACUCAAACUUCUUUUUUAAUCAUAAGAUAUGAUUAAUCAAAGCUGUUUUUCUAGCAUUUCUUCUGUCGUGGCUGAUGUUGAAGCCACAGUCAACGAGGUGGAUACCGGUGACUGGGGCGGCGGUGGAGUUGGUGGUUGAGAAGUCCAAAACUUUGCAUGCUUUAGCUUUGAUACACUUGCUAAAACUCCCACCGGUGUUACAUCUCCUUCUAUUGUCACUUUUUUUGCUGCAUAGUCUAUCUUGAAGGAUGUAACUCCUGCUUCCAAAAUUUAAAGUUAAAUCUUUCUUAUGCUCAGUAUUUUGAUAGAACCCAAAUUUAUUGAAAUAUAACCAGUAGCCAACCUAACAAGAUAAACAAGUUUUCGAUGUACUUGGAUCCUCCCAAUCUUAGAAUUACUCUCCAAGCCGAAUUCACUCACUACAGUAUUGUGUAUCUUGUUCAUUCUCUUCACUUUCUUCUUAUAAUCAACAAGUACGACAAACUUCCUAGCUAAUUACUAACAUAACCUUAACUUUCAUAUCACAUUUUGGGUUAAGAACUCCUUUAUCAUAACAUAUAUUUGUUGUAAUAAACUUUUGAACCAAUACAAUACUCAUACUCAAUCAUGUCAAGGGAUAAUUUUGUUUUUCUUUAGGUAAAAGAUCCAAAUCCUUAGAAAGAAAAGAAAGAUUAAGAAUGGAUGUCUAAGAACAUGUCUGAAGAGGUAGCAGUUUUUACAAAGUGUUAUCAAAAGGGCCAAAGAAAAUGUCAAACACAUUCUUUAAGGAGGCUACAACUUACCUUCCAUUUUUGAAAGAUGUUUCCUAACUUUCCCUUCACAACCUUUACAGUGCAGUGACACCAUCAACACCACAACCUACAAACAAAACCAAAACCAAACAUUUCCAUUGAAAAAGACAGCCAUUUACCUUAUAGAAUGUUAAAAGUAGUUGCAUUGUUUUUUUUAUCCUCCAUAAUCAUGUUCUUUAUCACUAAAAGGUCUAGCAAAGUGGCAAACCUGUUUGGUUGGAGUUGGUUUGGGCUCCUCAGACAAUGUUGGUUGAGUUGUUGAAGAAGUAGACUCAUCUUGAUUUACCUCAGUUUUGAGUUCUUUGUUAUCAUCAACCGGGUUGAUAUCAUAAACAGGGUCGAUCUCCGGCAACUCGUCGAAAAAUUGUGAUUGUGUAUCACUUUCAAGUAGGUACCUAGAUGAUCCAACCAAGGGCGGAGGAGGAGGAGGAGCGACCAAAUCACUCAAUUUAGCAAAGCUCCUUGUAACAAUAUCAGUGGGAAUGAAGGAGCUCUUCUUCAAAAAAUCAGUAGAUGGAAGACUGUCAGAACUUUCCUUCUCUUCAUCUUCAUGUUUCACAAAUGGGAUUUUGUUCUUGGUUUUUCUAUUGGCUUUUGAAGAGGUUUUCUUGCUCUUUGUGAGUUGAUGAUGGUGAGGUUGGGGACUAAAAGGUGGUCGAGAAAAUUCUCGUGGAGGUGUUAAUAGAGUAUUUGGGGCAGUAAUGUUUCUUCUUCCAUCACAGAUGAUGGGAUUGUGACGAUCGAGAGCACGUCCACCGAGCUGAAUAACGGGCGAGGAAGGGUAGGAAGAGGACGAUGAAGAUGAAGAGGCUUGCUCAAUUUCCAUGCUUGAGUUCAUAUGGCUAUCGAGGCUUGGUAUACAUAGAAUAUAUCUAUGCCAUCCAUCUUUUGGCAAUGAUUUAUGAGAGAAAAAAAGAGAGAAAUGGUAUGGCUGGGAGAAUCUGAACCUAUGGGAAGAGAGAGAAAUGAAAGCUUUUACAGAUAGGCCAUUGUUCUUUUCUAGUUUUAAGCUCAGAGAGAGAGAAGCGAGAGAGAGAGAGAGAGAGAGAGUUUGAUUCUUCUUAUUACAUUUUGAAAAAUAUUGAGACCACUUUUAUUGGCUAAGAUUCAUAAAUAACGCAGUCAGAGCCCUCCAACUGAAAAGAAAAACAUGUAAAAUUGUAACAGGGAACUACAAUCUUUUCUAUCAGCCAGAGCCUUCAGAAUUUAUUUGAUAUGUCCAACAAAUUCAUGUCUUUAUUCAAUGAAAACUUUUCUGAUGAAAUUUACAGAAAAAUUCAAUUCCCAUGUUUAAUGCUCUACCACAGCAGUCUGUAAAUUCAUCUUCUUUCAACAUCAUACAUUCAGUAAAAAAAACUCAUAUAGAUUUUCUCUAGAUAUGUUUUUCGACAUGUUGAUCGACGUUUUAAUGAAUCCGUUAUCAGGCAUUAGUUUCCUCUGAAUAAUCAGAAGAUUCAAUCAAACUCAGAGCAACAUAAAACUUAGUUCUUUCCCAUCAGAAAAGAAAAUGAAGGUCAAAUCUCAUAAAUGGGGAUUGUAAUACAAAAGAGAGGGGAUAAUCACUUAAAAGAAUAAGAAUUACAAGGAUUUUAGAAGUUGUACCAAUUUGUUAGUAAAUCCUUUUUCUUUUUGGAUGUUGAAAAGUAUUAAUCUCAAAGCUACUUUUGUUCUUCUUUGUUUUUCUAAUAUGAAGCCAAAGCCAUGGAAUUUCCUUUCAGUAGCUAAUUAUGGGAAUCAGAUGCUGAUAGAAUUGGUUUGUUUCUUUCUUUUUGCCUAUUUUCUUUACAUUUAGGCCAACCCAUUUUUACCAAUAGUUAAAGCCUCUAAUCAAAUCAAGUCCUUAUGUUCUUUCUCUCUUACAUUUCAUUCAAUGCGAACCUACACUUUGGUCCACUUUAUUCUUUUACCAUUUCUUGUUUUUUUCCUCCGAAAUCAUGGUCAGAAUGAACUUAGUUCAACUAAUAUAGUUCAAUUUUUCAAUUCACAUAUCGUGAAGACAAAAAAAAAAAUAUUGACAGUUAUUUUAGCCUAAAUUUAUUUUUGGAAGAGGUAACAUGCAAAUUAUACUAAUAAAUAAAGGUGUGUAAUCUGAUAAUAAUCGAAGUCGUUUAUGCAAAAUCUCGCUUAUUAACACAUUUCAUCAUUUUGAGUUGUAAUUAUAAGAAAUAUCAAAUCAAUAAUUUUAGGCAGCUGGUGGACAUGUAGUUACAUUUUUUUUAGGAAGAACACUUCUGCUUUGACUUUGUAUAUAGCAUAAUGCAGAAAAAGUCAAAUGUACAAAUUAUACAAAGAUGGAUGGUCUACAUAGAAUGUAGAAUGGUGUUGUUUCAAAAACUUAAACCCUUUCUAAAAUUUGUUCCAUUUUCUGUACCUUUUUCUGUGGGGGAGGGGAUUGGAAUCUGUUCUUUCUUUUGGAUAGAAUUGGAUUCUUGUACAUGAAACAAAGGGAUCUCUAGAAUGCUUUGGAAUCAGAUCCCGAAGUGUCCAAUCAUCUAAAGUCGUUUUUUUUUUUCCAUUUAUCCAAGAACAGUAAAUUGUCAAGAAAAGAGAUAUGUAUCAUGGCAUGGCAAGUAUAACUUCUCUUUGAACUCACACUCAAUUCGGUAAGAGUUGUAGAAACAUAGUGAAAUAAUCACUUUCUUGAAAACAAUUGCGACAUGACUUCAUGUUAAUUGCUCCCUAGUCCUCAGGACAGGUUAUAGCUGGAUUUUUUUAAAAACUUUAAGUAAGAGAAAAUAAAAUUAAAGAUCUUAUUCAAACCAAAAUUUUAAUUUCUAUAUAAAAGUUAGCUUCCAAACUGGAAGAACCAAAGCAUAUGCUGCAGCCAGGCUUAGUAAAUAAGUUAAUAACUUGUGGUUGUUUCACUUAUUCAACAGGGUUCUAUAGUCGAUAUGUAUGAUGAUUUUGAAACAAUAUAUCAUUCAUCAUUAUGGGAAGUUUAAAACAAAAGCUCUAUAAGAAUUCGCUAUCUUUUCAUUGAAGAAAUUCAACUACUUACCUACUAGCACCAACCACAGCAGCAGUUUAAGGAAACAGUUCCACACCAUCAUAUGAUUCAUAUCGACAAAUACAAUAUAUGUAUGUGAUGUUUAUUUGGAUGGAUACAUAUAUGUAGUGUAAUGGGGCAAGUAAAAAUGACAAGCCCAGAGAUAAAGAGGACACUGAAAGCCCAUACAAACAGAUUGGGCUGUUUCUAACAACCAAACUUCAGGUAGCCUAAUCAUAUGCUGGGUCAAGGAAACAAAAAAUGUGGCCUAAAGGACCUUUUCACCAGCAGCACAAUCUAAUGGAUAAAACGCAUUGAAAAGAACAGAAAUAAAUAGGGAUGUGGCACUCACGCUUUGUGAUCAAGAGCAAAAAUCUUUAUAUGUUCCUAUAGUGGGAUGAAGAUGAACUUAGAGGAUAUUUGGACAAUGAAUGAAUGAAUCAACUAGAUUCAGUUGCUUCUCACUAUACAUACUUGUUUCAUUCCUUGUAAUUUUCGUCAUUAGUAACCUUUACCUUCGUCUUCAUUCAAAAUGCGCUUCUGGAAGUCACUCACCAUGAGAGGCAGUCCUUCUCUUAGUGAGAUUUUGGGUUCCCAGUUGAGUAAUGACUUUGCUUUGCUAAUAUCAGGUUUUCUCUUGUGAGGAUCAUCGGCAGUAUUUGGUCUAAACUCUAUUGUUGCACUUGGAUCUAUAGUUUCUUUGACAACCUAUACAAACAGGAAAAGAAAAUUUUGAAAUUGUUGCAACUCUGUUUCUCAUCCUCUCUCUCUCAGUGAGGAGUGGGCAUGAAAUACUCGGGCAGAGCUUGACUUGCAACAAAGAACAUAUUACUCAAAGCCCCUAUUUAUGGAUCAUGAAAUGACCUGAAAAUUUGUUGUUAUUUAUAUCAAUGAGUCAAUUAGAAAGACAAACCUGGGCCAGCUCCAUCAUGGUAAACUCUCCUGGAUUACCCAAGUUGAAAGGUCCUACAUGUUCACCUUCCAUGAGUGCCACCAGUCCAUUAACCUAUCAUUGGAGAUUAUUAUCAAGACCUUCAGUUUGGAUUCGUUAAAUCAUGAUACAAUGCUUUAUUUUAGAAGUUGAGCUGCCUCUUUCAAUUGAUGCCCUUACAUACAUAUAUAGUAUGUAGUAACCACAGAAAUAACAAAUCAAAUGAAUAAUUACAAGCAUCAAUCUUCACAAAUUUACAUCCAAAGAAUAAAACAAGAUGUAACUGGUCGUAAAUUACAGACUAAUUUUUCAGAGCUGUCUUAAAUCUUCCUGUUUGUGCGUUCACAUUUCCACUUGAAAUAUGAAAUCAACGUAAUUGGCUGAAGAAUGCUAAUGCGUUCAAUGAAAUGCAGAAGAUCUUAAAGCAUAUUAACUAGAAUGACAAUAUAUAGUCAUCCAACAAGGGUAAGGCAAUCCAGAGUUUUUGACUCACAUGAAGUCGGAAGAAUGCAAAAGCAUCAAUAAUAUCUUUUAGUGUUACCACUGCCAGUCAGACAAAGAUUCAGUAGAGAAAUUACAAAAAUCAAUAUGACAUACCAAGUCAGAGACAUAUUGAAAGCUCCGUGUUUGUUUUCCAUCACCGUAAACAGUCAAUGGUUGUUUCCGAAUAGCCUGAAAAUUUACUAAGAGAAUUAGAAAAUAUAUUUUAAGCAUUGAUCACAAUAAAUUCCCAAAUGAAAAUCUUAAAUAGGGGAAGGGGAAAAAUCAAAUCAGAUGUUAACCUGUGCAACAAAAUUGCUGACAACACGCCCAUCAUCUAAACACAUACGGGGUCCAUAUGUGUUAAAAAUGCGAGCAAUUCGAACCUGCAAAAAGAAAAUCUCGCCAAUUGUCAAAUGAAUCAGAAAGCUACAAGAGAUUGAUCCUUAUAAAGAAUACAGCAAUCCCUUUUCUUCAGAAACUAAUGGAAUAAAACUAAAAGUCAGUGAUUACCUCGACUUCAGCACCUCUAUGAUAAUCCAUGGUUAAGGUUUCAGCUGUUCUCUUUCCUUCAUCAUAGCAGCUUCUUUCCCCUAAGAAUUACAAAAAAAUUUCUUAAAAUUGGGUUGUUGAAUAUCUUAAACCUAUAUUGUAUAAAAUGCUUGUGGUAUUUAUCAAAACUACACUUUACCUAUAGGGUUUACAUUUCCCCAGUAUGUUUCCUUCUGAGGAUGCUCAAGUGGAUCACCGUAAACUUCACUAGUACUGGUGAGUAGAAAUCUAGCCCCAAUUCUCUUUGCCAGGCCAAGCAUAUUCAAGGUACCCAUUACAUUUGUCUUGUGAUAAUUGGUUAAGGAUAUCCAGGCAAAAACACAAUAAUUCUAACAGCAAAAUUUCUUCCUAAAUUCAAUGAAAGCUAACACAAGAAGCAAGAAUCUGAAAAUGGAACUACUGGAAAAAGGAUAUGAUAGUCUUGACAGGAUUGUACUUGUAAUGAACAGGAGAUGCUGGACAUGCCAAGUGGUAGAUUUGAUCCACCUCUAAAAGAAUUGGCUCAACCACAUCAUGUCGAAUCAGCUCGAAUCGAGGAUUUCCCAGAUGAUGCACCAAAUUAUCCUUUCUACCAGUGAAGAAGUUAUCAAUAACAAUCACAUCAUCCCCUCUUUCAAUUAACUUAUCCACAAGAUGACUUCCCACAAAUCCAGCUCCACCAGUGACAACAAUCCUCAACCUUCGCCGCCCAAUACCGACGGGAACUCUGCCCCCCGUUUUCCCAAAUCCAUAUAUCCCCGACCCUGAAACCUGGUCCCUGCUCGUCAAACCUGUUGCAAACGAUCUGCGAAUUGCAGACCCAGCUUCAGAAGGGCCAAUACGGGACAAGGAGGGCUGAAGGAUGAAGAAGGUAGAGCCAAUCAAAAUGCCGACAAAAACAAAGAGAAGUCUCUGCUCUCUGAAAAGAUAGUUGAUGGAUCUGGGGAGAGAUCUGGGGUGUUUGAGAGCUUUUGGGGAAUACGGCGAUGUCGGAACUGGCGGAACCUCUUCAUCCCGCCGGUGAUUAAUGCUGGAUUGCUUAUGGAGCUGUUUGAUGCUCUGCAUUGCUGUGUGAUGGGUGGUUUCACCGCAAUUUCUGUAUGAUAUCAGAGAUCAAGAAGUAAACGAGUGGAAUUUGGAUUUUGGUAGUGAGAAUUCGGAUGAAAAGUUGAAAUUUUGUGAAAAUUAAGAUGGAAUUUGAACCAUUAGAGACCUGAGAGAUCGCCAGAAUUUCCCAACCGAAACGGAUUAAAGGAUCUGCGAAUUGUAAAUUUUUGUUCAAUACCCUAAAAUCCACGUUUGGACCGAAUUACCCCUCCCUUACAAAACUUUCCAACUCCUUUUUAGGCCAAUUUUUCCUUCUAUUUUUUACCACUUUUUCUCAAAACAUUUAUGAAGAAAUUUUAUAAAUUAAAAACUUGAAAAUAUUUACAAAUUUUACCUAAAUUAAAAAAAUCAAUUCAUGUUUAUAAAUUCAUUUUCAAUCAUUUUAAAAAUAAAUUAACUAUUACACAUCCUAAUUAUUUAAAAUUAAUUCAUGUCAAAUUCCAAAAUGAGCAUUAAUAAAAGUUCAAGGGUAAAUAAGUAAACUAUUAAUACUUAGGAACCAAAUGAAUAUUAUAAAGAUGGCACAUCCAAACGAUGGGACAUAUUUUCUUGAUGAAAUUUGCCGAUACCAAUUAGCUUUGUCAAAUAUUGAAUCCAAAGCUCAAAGUCUAAAUUAGUCUAAAUUUAUACAAAUAAUUUGGGCUUGCUAGAGUCAAGAAAACAUACUCCAUGGCUCGAGGCCUAAAUUAGCUUAAUUACAUCAAUGUUUAAUAAAUAAAUUGGGCUUGAAUUCCAGAUUAGGCCCAAACAAGCCCAUGCCCCAAAGGUUUGUCCCAACUACAACCAAGCCCAAUCCUAUCACAAGUUAAUAUCAUCUCAGGAAAGGAAAUCAAUUGUGACAUUAAAUCACUUGCAUUGUAUUCAUUUCAAUUUAAACUUUCAAUUGAAACCCUUAAUUUGAAUUUAAUUAAAACAUGCGUAAACAUCCUAAUCAAUUCAUUCACUUCAUUCAUUCGAACAUAAAUAAGUUUGACCAAUACACUAAUUAAUAGCUAAAUAAUUUUUUCUCAAAAUUUUAAAUUUCUACUCAAAAGUAUAUAGUAACGUUGUUUUUCUUUAGAAUUUUAUUAAUUUCAUAUUCUAAUCAUCUCUUGCAAUUUUUUGAUGACAUAAGAGUCUUUUAACCAUACUUGAGGAGAAAGUUUAUAAGAUGGUUGAAAUCUAAUCACCUUUAAGAUUCAUUUCCGAACAUUUAUGUAAUUUUUUCUUCAAUUUGAUGAGAUUAAAGAUUUAAAGUUAAAAUUGAUUCAAUUUAAAAAUUGGUUUCGUAUGAUGUGUUUGAUAUUGUAAUUUCAAAGUUCAAAAUUUAAUUACAUAGUUGAAACUUUUAAAAAAUGGGGGAAAAAAGAAGAAGAAAAGAAACAAAACUAUAUUUAAAUAAUUAACUUUGAAAAUAAAUAGAAUCGAGGGCAGUAUUGAAAAUGUCAUAAAAUUGAAGGGUUAAAUUUCAAAAAUAUCAAAUCAUUUGUGUUUUUCGCUCUCCCACGUGUUAUUUUGACUUUUAUGCCCUCUAGUUUGACAAUACAAACGUGGGCUAUGCGCACCAACUGAGGGAUAUAGUUGUAAUUUCAGUGUAAUAUGGUAACAAAAAUGAAAAUUUAAUUCCAAAGAAACAAACGGGGGAUAGGGAAGGCUUUCCCGUCUCCUUCCCCAAUCUCAAUCUCCAUAGGAAAAAAUUUUCGUUUUAUUUAUUUGUGUGAUUUUAGCAAUUUUUUCCUUUUAUUUUGAACUAUAUAAAAUUUAAAAUUCUUUAAAUGGAGCAUUUCCAAUUCAAUUCUGAAAUAAAUAAAAAAAAUUAAAACUAUAAAAUCCACGUAAUUUCUAAAAAUCGAAAUUUAAGUAUUAUAACAUUUAAGGUAUUGUUUUGAAUAUGCUUAAGAAUCUAAUUUAUUUUUAGUUGAUUCAAUGUUUCCAUUGUGAGUAUUGUUAUUGUUAUGUUCCAUAGAAAAUGUUGACUAAAAUAGAUCAAUAAAUUAGAAAUAUAUUAUAAGACCACAAUCAUAUUUUGACAACGACUAAAAAGGAAAAAAUGAAAAUGAAAGAAAACGAUAGGGGAAAUAGCUGAGAAAUUUCUCCUAAAUUUUAGAUACAUAAAUGAUUACUUAUUUGUUUUUUGUUUUUUUUUUUUAUGUUUUUUAAAAUCUGUUUUUGAAAUUUUGGUUAUUAGAAACAAAAACCUUCCAUAACUUAUUUUGUUUUAAGUUUCUUAAAAACAAAAUAUAUCUUUUUUAACUUUUUUUUUUUCAUUUUCAAUUUUCUCCCUAAUCUUAGGGGCAAGAUUAACUUUCGAAAACGAAAAACAAAUGGAUUACGAAACAUGUUAGUAAUCAAUAGCAUCAAAUAGUUGUAAUUAAUAGAAAAAUUGUUGGAAAUAUUUGCAAAAUAUAUCAAAAUUUCAAAUUCUAUCGACGACAGUGAGAUAUCUUCUAUCUAUGUACUAAUACACACGACAAAAUCUUUUAUAUGUAUUAAUUAAUAGACACGACUAUAUUUUGUAAAUAUUUUUAGGAGUUAUUUCAUUUACAAUAAUUUUUCAACAUUAUUAUUUUUUUAAAAAAAACAGUCUAGUUGACAUAAAAAUUAUACUAUUAGCUUGAAAGUUAAUGCUUUGAUUAUUUUGCUCUAUAUAUCGAAAAAAAAUACAUGUUUCUACCAAGUUGGACAUAACUCAAUUAACCUAUAUUAUAUUUUAGUGAAAAAAAAAAUCUAUGGUAUGAUUUUCAUGGUUGUGUGUGAAAAUUAAUAUGAAUCAUAAUAUAUAUAAUAAUUGAUUUUCUUAAUGGAAAAUUACCUUUUAUAUUUUUUUUCCUGGUCAGGGACUUAUUAUAAAUGAAUGGUUUAAAGUUUUGAAGAAAUGUCACGUUUGAAAUUAAAGAAUUUAAUGAUAAUUACACAAAGAAAUAACCGUUUGAAUUAAGAACUCAUUUAGGUUUAAAACUAUAUUAAAAAAAAUAUUGAUUACAAAACAAUAUAAUAAUUAAUGGUUAAGGACAUGCCAUGAUGAAAUGUGUAUAAUAUAAUUAUAUAUUCAUUAGCUUUUGAUCACAAAAAACUUACGUAAUUGCAUGUUAUGUGUGGUAGGGGUUUCAAGAUAUUUUCAACCACCUAAUUGGACGAUUGGACACAUGCAUUGGAAAAAAUUUUCAAAAGGUUUGAAAUAUAUUUUCUCAAUUUGAACAUAAUUACGUGCACGCGGACUCCAAAUCGAAGGAGGAACGAGAGAGAGAUCGAGAGGACUCGAUCUAGUUAGCCGAGAUUUUUUUUUUAAUUUCUUGUGGAGUGAGAGCGAAAGAAAGAGAUUUGGGCAAGGGGACCCUUACACGGACCAAUCCAAUAAAGAUAUUUAUUAUAAGAAAAAAAUUGUUAUCACAUUAUAAAACUAAAGCGGAAAAACUCAAAACUCAAAGAAUAAAUUACCACGGGUUUGAAAAUUUUCAUUUUGUGCGAAAAAUCAUUACAAUCACGUAGAAUUAACUCCCGACUCCAAUUACAAUAGAAGCAGUAUUCCUCAAGGUAUUUCUACCACGUGUACCCUUUCUCUUACUCUUAACUAAAUUUUUUUAAAAAAAAAAAACUAAAAUUAGUAUGAUGGUCGAGCUUGAAAGUGUUUUUGGACAAUUUGAAACUAAAGACAUAAACUUCUUUUUUAUGAAGAACAACUGUAUUUCUAAUAUUUUGCCCAAACGUAAUAGGUUGAAUGUAUACGAUAGAGAAUGAAAAAGUACUUUGAAUAUGUAUUCAGUAGUUAUAUCAAGAGUCAUGCAAAAUUUCAAACUCAAAACUCAAAGAAUAAAUUACCACGAGUUUGAAAAUUUUCAUUUUGUGCGAAAAUCAUUACAAUCACGUAGAAAUAACUCCCGACCCCAAUUACAACAAAAGCAGUACUCCUCAAAGUAUUUGUACCACACGUGUCCUUUCUCUCACUUUCAAACUAAAUACACAAAAAAAAAAAAAAAAAAAAAAAACCUAAAGUUAGCAUACUAGUCCGACUUGAAAGUGUUUUGGACAAUUUGAAACUAAAUAUAUAAACUUCUUUUUUAGGAGCUCGUCUAACGUGGAAUAACUGCACUUCUAAUAUUUUGUCAAAACAUAAUAGGUUGAAUAAUGUAUACGAUAGAGAAUGAAAAAGUACUUUGAAUAUGUAUUCAGUAUUUAUAUUAGAGUCGUGCAAAAUUUCAAACUCAUAUCUAAUAAUUAUUUAGAGAGAGUCACGUUAUGACAAACCUUACUGAAUAUUACGUAGAUUUUUGCUCAACGGAAUGUGAGGGGGAGAGAGAAAAGAGGUUGGUGACCUUUAGUUUUCCCUUCUAUUUUUCCCAAAGGAAGAAAAUUUGGAACCCUAGAAAUUGAUUGAGGUGGUGAGGAUGUUGAUUGAAAUGAAUGAUAAUAAAUGAGAAAACUAUGUGUUGUCACAUUUACAUGUUGAUUUGUUUUGAUUUUUUAUGACAUUUAAUGACACAUCAAGGGAAUAUACCUACAAAUAAGUCAUGAAAGCUUUAGAAAUUUUAUCAUCUCUUUGUAUGGCUCUUUCUUCUUCUUCUUUUCUUUCUUUCUUUGUAUUUAAAUACAUUAGAUCACAAGAAGAAGAAGAAAAAAAAAAGACAAAAUCUUGUGGCUUAAAGUGAUGGUAGAAAAAGAUUUAAUAAAUGUAAUUUCAUUCUUUUUCAAUUAUAAACCCUUUCCCUAGUUUGUUGAAAAAAGGGACCCAAUAUGUAACCAUUAAUGAUAUUAGUUUCCAUAUAGAUCACUAAGUUCACUAUCAAUUAUAUUUAGAGAUGUUGAUAAACACGAAAAAAAACUAUACUAUCCAUUUUUAAUUAUUGGGAGAGGUUGAAAAUAAUAUUACUUGACUAUUUAAAUAUAAAUAGAUAGAUAGAAUAUUCGAUAGAAUACAUUUUAUAGUUCAUAAAGUUUCAAGAAAGAUUCUCGUUUUUGUUUUCUUAAUUUAUUUAAAACGGUAAAAACCUUAACAAUAAAAUUCACUCACAACAAAUGGUCUUCAAACCACACCUAAAAUAUCGAUAUGUUCGGGAAAUAUAAUAAGCAACAAUAGGGUAUGAUUGUAUGAAUGAAUUGAAAGGAUUAUUGUGAAAAUAAUAAAGAAAUAAAGCAUUAAUUGGUUUAUAUCCAAAUUACAUUAUAAUUUAAAAAUUGAAUUGAAAGAAGUAGAAACAUACCAUCAUGAUCAUAUGAAGUUUCCUGGAAGAAAGCAAUUACAUUUUGCCUAUCUAAACAAUUUGAUUUCAUUAAUUAUUGUCAAUGUUUAGAUGAAUUAAAACAUCAAAUUAAUUAAUGUAAUAAUUAACUCCUUUCCACUAAGUAAUUCUUAAAUUGGCUAGCUAGUAGAUCGAAUUAUAUUAAUUUAGUAUUCUAUGAGUAAGAUUUUGGCAUAGAAAGAUAUAGUGUAUAUAUAUAAGAAACAAAAAAGAAAAUUGUUCGUUCUUUUUAUAAUUUUGAUGCUUUAUAUAGUCCAUAUUGAAAGGGAUGUUAUAUAUAGAUCUCAUAAUCUUCAAUAUGCAUGUAGGUAUAGUUACAUAAUUAUAUUCAUUUUUGCUAAGACUUCCAAACCGACCAAUUUGAAUAAUAGUAUAGUGCAAAUUAAAUAUGACUCAUCAUCCACAUCCAUAUUAUAAAAGCAUCGGUUAUAUAUAUAAUAAAGUCAAACAAAAUGUAAAUAACUAACCCAUGUUAUGUUUCUUUAGCCUAUGGAUUUGAUUAUAGUAUAAUGAAUGCAUACUAAAAUAUUAAUUUCUUUUUGUUUAAAUUGUCCUAGUGUAAUCAAUUCCAAAAAAAAAUCAAACGUUGACACAAUUUAAACAUGGUUUUGUUAUUUACAACUUUUCUAGUUCAUGUUUUGAUUUCAACUUUUGAUUUGUCGACAUAGAUAAUUAAUACACCAAAUUGAAUAAAAAUAAAAAUAAAAAGUAUAAAAGUUUAGUUGAAAAUAAUACAGAUAUACAUACACUAUAUUAUGAAAUAAAAUUUUGAUUCUAAUAAAUGUCUAUAAAAAAAAAUAACUAUUUAUUUAAGUUAAUAGACCAAAAUUAAUUGGCCCUUGAAGCUCUUCCAUCAUAAUUUUAUAAAUUAUAAUCUUGUGUUUACAAAUAAUUAAUGUCGAAUUAUUUGAGUUGGUUUAAAUCAAACUAAUUUGUAAAAAUGGCUUGGGAUACUCUACAAAUUAAAUUUUCAAUCAUCAAUAAGUUAUUGCUUAUUUGUACAUUGACCAGUAUUGAUCAUUUAAGAGGUUAAAUUUUGAGCAUACUCACAUUUUUUUACUUGAAAAAUAAACUAUUUUUUAUAGUCAUUUUUUAAAAAGUGAAUGUUUCUCUCAUCAAUCAAACAUUCACAUAUAUAAUUUUUUUUCUUUAGAAAUUAAGUCAUGGGUGAACAUAAAUAUCUUAUUUAUUUAAUAAAAUGAAAUAAAAUUUGUACGAAAAUAAAAUUUCUCAAUAUAAAUAAAUGGAAGAGUAAGAAAUAUGAAUACAUGCAUAAAAAUUGUAAAAAUAUAUUCUCAAUUUUGGCUUAUAUUUUAAAAACUUUCUUAAAAUUUGUGAAUAAUAAACAAUGGUUAUGAAAACGAAAAACACUUUUCAAACAAAUGUCUAAUAAUUCAAUUAAAAUAUAAAAAAUAGCCUAUAAGUUUAUUUUUAAUAAAUAAAUAAAAACAAAAUCCAUUUAGUCUAUAUCAAAAUCAAAUUUCUUAUUACACAAACAAUAAAAGUAUAAAAUUGAUAAUUGAUAAUUCAAUUCAAAUUUCAAAAGUAGCUUAUAAGUUUGUCUUUUAUGAAUGAAAAAAGGUUGAAAAAAUCAAAUAUAAAAAAAUGAGACUUAAUCAAAAAUAGAUAAAAAGUACACGUGUAGGUGACGCAGCAGCUUAAAUGGGAAACCCUUUACAAAAUCGCAUCAUCCUAGUCACGUGCUUUUUAGCAACCGAAUUUUCCCGUUACCUUUUGCCAAAAUUGUACGGCCCAUUUUUGUCACCAAUUUGACAAUUUUGACCCUCUCCCGCCACCACCGGUUAUUUUAUUUAUUUUUAAUUUAUACCUAUAUUUUAAAUCUAAUAUCAUAUUGAAUAUUGAAUAUUGAAUUUCACUUAUCAUGUAGUGUUUUAUAUUGGAGUUUUUUAUUUUUUAAAUCCAUUUUUAUUAGUUUGAAUUUGAAUGACUUACGACCUUUCUUUUAUUUUAUUUAUUUAAAUCCUUCCUUUUUCUAUGUAUUUAUUCAUUUAUUCUAUACUAAUAAAUAUUCAAUACAAUUUUUUUCUAAAUCUAAAAUUGGUAGUAACUCAUUUAUAUUUGUUGUGAAUUUUUUUCAUUGGUAGAGCAUGUUCUACCAAAGUUAAAUAGAGAUAUAUGUUAAAUAUAAGCUAAUAAUCUAUAAUUUUCCUUUUAUAUAAUUAAAUGGGUUAAGAUAAAGUGAUCUAAAUAUCAAGAUUGUGAUGUAAUAAAUGUGAAUAUUAUUUUAUAAUUAUAUGUUCAAAUGUUGUAGAUUGAACAUUACUUUACUUUCUCUUUUAUAAAACUUAACUUAAAAUAUAUUUUGUUUUAUAUUCCAAGGAGUGUGCAAGUUGUCACAUGGUUUUUAAAAGAAAGGUGUUUAAUUUUCUUAAAAUGAAUGUAUAUAAAAAUAAUUAAACAUUUUAUUUUUCUUAUUAGAGUCAAAAAUUCAAACAUUCCACCUAAAAGGUCAUCUUAAUUAUCAUUGAACUAAGCUCGUUUUAGCAUCAUACGUUAGUUAUUGUAUAAAUGGCUUUUACAUAAUAUAAUUAAAUUUAAUUACAUGUAUGACAUUUAUCCAUCUAUAUAUUUUUUUUCUUUAAUUCAUUUUGGUUGAUGUAAAUUAAUUAUUUUUUUAAUUUUAGAGAUUAAAAUGAAAAGAAGUUGAAGAUACAAUAAUCAAACUAAAACAUAUCAAAAUACGUACAUCAACUAUAAUGAAUUAAAGUAGUUUUUUUAACACUUUAAUCAUAUUAUUGAUCUUAUUAAUUUUAGGCCUAAUCACUUAAUUAUACAAAAUUUCAAACUAAGAAAAUCAAACUUAAUUAACUUUGCAUUAAAUCUAUAUAUAUAUAUGUAUAUGUAUAUAUAAAAGCCAGCCAAAUGAGAAUGUCAAUGUAAACAAAUCUAAAGAAGUCAAUUCUUUUGAAUCUUUUAACACUCAAACCCCAUUAAUUUAGCCUAAUCAUUAUUACUUAAUAUAUAAUGUGCCCAUGCAUAUAAUACCAUUUUUCUAUUUUCUAUUUUCUAUUUUGAGCUUUUAUGAUUAUUACUCCCAAAUUUGGAUGAGAAUAAAUAAUAAUAACAACAACAAAAAAGAAAAUUGAAAAGAAAGAUAGUAAAAACUUUGAGAAUUAAACACAACUAACAUUAAAUAAUUAAUUUGAAAAAUGAAGAUAUAAGUUAUAAUAAUUGAAAAUAAGAAGUUAAAAAUGGAUAGAAAUUAAAUUAAAAAUUUAAAUUAAAGGGCCGUACAUUUGGAAAGUUUUGAUCCACCAAUAUUUCCAAUAAAUUGGGUUGAAUAUUUAGCACGUAAGUAUUUGCUGACUUUCGAAGUAACGUUCAACUUCAACAAUUAUCAAAUUAUUUGACCACAUCAAUUUCCUCUAUCAAAUUAAACUUUAUGAACUAAUUAUUACUCCAUGCCAACUACCUACCCUAUUACCAAUAUCUUCAUGAACUAAUUAAACUUUACUCAAUAUAUUUGUAUGGUAAAUAUUUCAAUUUAUUUUUACUCAAUGUAUUUGUAUCGUAAAUAUUUCAAUUUAUUUUAUAUAUAUCGUGAAGUAAUAAAUAUUAUACACCUCUUCCUUCCCAAAUUGAAAACAAUAGGAUAAUUAUGUUGGAAGAAAAAAGUUUCUAAACAGAAAUAAUUAGUCUAAAAAAAUUUCUUAUUAAAGUAGUUUUUUUUUGUCGCAGUAUUUCCAAAACUAAGGCUUGCUAUUUAUCAAAAAUUUCUGCUUGGACUAAUUUCUUAAGCUUAAUUAUAUUGUUUGAACCUUUGGUGACAUAAAUGCUUACAUUAAUUGAUAAUUACAUUGGACAGAUUUUCUACAUAAUAUAACAAUUCAUAAUAUGACCAAACUUUUUGUUUCUUUUUAUUUAAUUAAUUUAUUUAUUUAUUUUGUGCUUUUUGCAUUUUGGUCCUAAAAAAAUGAUUUUUUAAUAUAAGCAUGAAAAAGCUCAUUGACUAAAUCAUAUGUGUAUGAAGUUAAGUAAUCACAAAUUUCAAAGUAUAUUAGAGAAAAAUAUAAUAAUUUGAAAUUAAUGUCAUUGGUUACAUUUGUUUGUGUGAAACCAAAUGAUUUAAAUUGUGAUUCUUUUUCUAUUUAACUUUCUUCCCACACAAUGACCUUUAAACUUAUUUAGACUCUCAAUUUCACAAAAUUGCAUAAUAACAUCCCUUUAGAGAAUGAUUAAAAUCAUUUUAGGAAUGAUUUUGAAAAUAAGAUAAGUAGUUAUAGGCUUAAGGUUUGAAAUUCGCUUUAAUAAAAAAAUUAUGUUCUAAAUUUAUAUUUUAAUUACCGUUAAAAUAUAGAUUUAAUUUCCUUUUCACAAAAUGUCCCAUAAAUGGAAUGAUUCAAAAAUAUUUAUCAUUUACACAUAAAAGAAAAUUUUUUCUUCGUCCCAUCAAUGAGGAAUAACUACCAAAUUUAUUUUGAUAGUUAUGUUUAUUUGAAAUUUGAAUUGACCUUUCUCAUUGUGAUUGAUCCUUUACUAUAUACCACCAAUUAUAUAUAUAUAUAUAUUUCAUUUUCAAUCAUUUGCCCUAUUUUCCUUGCUUUCCAAAUAUAAUUCUUUAGGAAAUUAUUUCAUACUUGCCAUGUAAUUUUUCAGUAAUAACUAUUUUCUUUUUGUUCUUUUAUAUGAAAUUUAAAGGAAGAAUACAUGUUUGAAUCAUAUAAAGUUUUUUCUUUCUCUUCAAAUUAUGAGAUCAUGUAUAUGAUCUCAUGCAAAUUAUGUCUUUUACCAUAUAAAAGAAUAUUGAUUUUUUUCUUUAUCACAGGCAGUAGGAAACCGAUCGAUAUAUGUAGCAGUAGACACAACAAGUGGAUAUCAACUUUUUAAUUGGAAAAUAAAUAAUAUUGUAAGAGCUUGAACCGACCAUGACUUGUCAGGAUAAUUUGCUCUAAUACUAUCUCAAAUCAUCGAUUAACCCUAAAGUUUAAAGCAAACAUUUUUAGAAACACAUAAAAUAUAUUUAUACAAAUUAAGAUAGAAACUUUUAAAUUUGGUUCGAUAUCCAUUUAAUUUUCAUUAAUAGAUUUUUAGAUAGUGUUAUAUAUUUUACUCAGUAAAUGAGAAAAGAAUAGCAAUCCGACGUCGUAUGAAAAAUGAGAAGAAAUAAAGAUAGAGAAUAGUACUCGGUAGUCGCCGUCCUAAACGACGAGGCAAAGGCCUCAAAACGCGCAACCCUCGGGUCAAUACACGUGGCAUUUUCUUCUUCUUUUUAAUAAAAAUCCUAAAAAGUCAAACGUUUUUUUCGUUGCCGUCGUUUCUCCUCCAAACGGCGCCGUACUCUACUGCCUAUAAAACCCAACUGCAUACCCUUAAUUUUCACCAUUCUACUAGAAACGAAAAGAAUUUGAUCACAAAAAUCAUAAUCCUAAAACUGGUUCGUCUCUCAAAUUCCGUGAUCGUAAAAUGCCGAGAAAAGGAAUGAGGAGUCUCCUUUUCCAGUUCUCGUCGCCGUCGAAUAAUUCCAUUUCUAGGUAUUCGAUCUCGUCGCCGUCGAGAACGCCGGCCUUGACUCCACGCCGGAGCUUCAACGAUGCCAUGAUUGAACAGGCCGUUGAAUCUGCGGCCGCGAUUGUGAUGAAAUGGAAUCCAGAUUCUUCGACUUAUGCUAAAGUUACUUCCAUGUUCUAUGAAGAUAAAAGAGAAGCCAUGCAGUUUAUUAAGCGCGUGAAUGAUCUUCAAAAAGCGAUGCACCUUAUGGCUUCUGAUGAUUCCGUUUCCUCUUCCGAUCGCCUUGUUUACGCUCAAGGUCUGAUGGAAAUAGCCAUGAAGAGACUUCAGAAGGAGUUCUAUCAAAUUCUGUCCAUGAAUCGUGCUCAUCUAGAUCCAGAAUCUGUUUCCACUAGAUCCUCUCGGUGCUCCACCAGAUCAAGCACUUCUGUUGAUUUCGACGAAGACGGAACCCUAGACGAUGAAAUCCAAGUCGUAGAAGAUUCGAUCUCUGAAGUUGAGCAAGUUUCUUUUAUUGUUAUGGAGGAUUUACGAGCCAUAGCCGAGUGCAUGAUCUCCUCUGGCUACGCUAAAGAGUGUGUUAAUAUGUAUAAAGUGAUUCGUAAAUCGAUUAUCGAUGAAGGUGUGUACCGUCUCGGACUUGAGAAGUUGAGCGCUUCGAGAAUCAAUAAGAUGGAUUGGGAGGUGCUUGAUCUUAAAAUCAAGAACUGGUUGGAUGCAAUUAAACUUGCAAUUCGAACGUUGUUCGUUGGUGAAAGAAUUCUCUGCGAUCAUGUCUUUUCCUCAUCUGAAUCCAUUAGAGAAUCCUGUUUUGCCGAUAUAUCCAGAGAAGGCGCUUUGCUUCUGUUUGGAUUCCCCGAACUUGUUGCAAAGAGUAAAAAAUCUCCGGAAAAAAUGUUCCGUGUUCUUGAUAUGUACUCAUCAAUCGCCGAAAAUUGGCCGGACGUCGAAUCCAUUUUCUCAUCUGAAUCCUCAUCUGUAGUUCGAUCUCAAGCUCUAACCUCACUCACGAAACUCGGCGAGUUAGUUCGUGCCAUUGUUAUGGAUCUCGAAUACUCGAUUCAGAAAAAUUCAUCCAAAUCUCCUGUUGCUGGUGGAGGCGUUCAUUCCUUAACACUUCUCUCGAUGAACUACCUCACUUUCCUCGCUGAUUACUGCAACUCUUUGACGGAUAUUUUCGCCGAUUGGAGUCCGCCUGAAAAAUCGUCUCUCGAACAUAUCUUCUUCAGCAGUACUUCAGAAACCGACGAUUCUCAAUCGUCUUCUGGAAUCUCUUUACGAAUGGGAUGGCUAAUUCUAGUUCUUCUCUGUAAACUCGACAACAAAGCGAAACGCUACAAAGACGUUUCUCUUUCGUAUCUCUUCCUAGCUAAUAAUCUUGAACACAUCGUCUCUAAAGUCCGAUCGUCCAAUCUUCAGUACCUUCUCGGCGACGAGUGGAUGGCGAAACAGGAAGUGAAAGUAAGGCAAUUCGCAGCUAAGUACGAAGCAUUAGCUUGGGGAAGAGUCUUCGAUUCCUUGCCGGAGAAUCCAACCGAGAAAUUCUCACAAGAGGAAGCUAAAGAGAUCUUCAGGAACUUCAAUAUGGCGUUCCAAGAAACUCAUCGUAAACAGAAAUCCUGCGUCAUUCCUGAUCCAAAGCUUAGAGACGAAGUUAAAUUAUCCAUCGGAAGAAAGCUUGUUUGGUUCUAUGGAGAAUUUUACCGAGCCCAAAAAGCUUACGGCGGUGCUAAUGAAAAACCGUACAUCAGAUUCUCUCCGGAAGAUAUCGGUAACUACCUUUCAGAUCUCUAUUUCGAACCGUCUGAUUGGGCAAGUGUUUCCACAUCAUCCCCGUCCUCCACCUCCUCCUCUCACCGGCGGGAACCCGGACCCCGUUGAUUGCAUCCAUCUCCGGCAACGGAUAUUUUUAUUUUUGUUCCUUAAUUUUUAAUUUAAAAGCAAAAACUUUUUGGAUAUCUUUCAGUAUUUUCCCUCCGAAUUUUGGAUUUGCAUGGUGAAAGUUGUAACAGUAAAUAAUACACGGAUUUAGUAAUGCUUUGACAUUUCGAUCAUAAGAAGUUGAAUAAUAUGCCUUCAUAAUGACUUUUCGAUUUCCAUCUCUUUCCACAUUUCUACGCCAUAAAUAAUUCGCAAAAAUAUUGGGCUUUAUUAUUAUUAUUGAAAAAAUAAAACUGCUUUUCAAAUUUAUAUUUAGGGCUUUUACUCCCCAUUCCAAAAUUUUCAAUAGAAUUUUUAAAAAUAAUUAUACCAGUUAAAAAUUAAUUAUAUAUAUAUAAUAUGAAUACAUCUUCAAAUAUAUCUAAAUAUAUUCGUGGUUCAAAUGUGUCGAAGUUCUUCCUUUGUUUAUUUGUUUUGAAAAAAAUAUCUUAAACAAAAAUUCAAAACGAUACAUGUGUAAAUUAGAAACUUGCAGUGGCCUUAAAUGAAGUUUAGGACCACCAUGCUAUAUAUAUAUAUAUGUGUGGCCAUUGCUAACAUUCUUAAAAAUGAUAAAGUUCAAUGGUUUUUUUCUUUCUUUUUAUUGUAAUUUAGUCAACUUUGUCACCCACCUUGAUGGUAUUUCUUUUUCUUCUUUCUUUUUAAAUAUAUGGUCUCUAAUAAUGAUAAAAAAAAAAAAGAUAUUUGGAUGCAUGUUUUAGAAGGCUGCCUUGCUAUUUCAAUAUUAUUAACAUUCAAAGAAAAUGAGGAGUUUAAUGAUACAAAUAAAGAAAAUUGACAAUGAGAGUUAACCUAAUGAAACAGAAAAAUGUUACAUAUUGAAAUUUUGAAAUCCAAAAAUACCUUCUUCUUUUUUCUUGGAAAUUUUACAUAUUAUUUUGAUUUGAAUUUAAAUUUCUCAAUCUCACGUUUAUGAAAAUGUUAAAUAUCACUUUGUUUUCAUUUGAUAUCUUAUCUUUAAUUUUCCUUUUCAGAUUAAUUUAACAAAUAAAUUCUUACCUAAAUUACGAAUUCUUAAAACAUAUUUUUAAUAGCCAUGCAAUUUGUUGACUUGGAUGAUUCUGAAAACAUUUGGAGGAGAUAAACUAUAACAAAAUGUAGAAACUGGUGCAACUAUAUGCAAAUGUAUUAUUUAGUCUUUAAAAUAAGUUGGGUUUGUUUUGCAAAAUUUCUUACUUUUAGUUCUCGUUUUACCUAUAUAAACACUUGAAAUCUUCAUUAGAAAAAAAAAGAAAGAAAAACAAGUUUAUGAAGCUGGUUUUUAAUUUUGAAAACAUCCCGUAGUUAUUAAUAUACUCGAACGUUAGUUGAUUAGUUAAUCUCCUAAUUAGUAUUAUAAAAUAGAUAGGUUAAAGAUUUGAUAUUCAAUCGUAUUUAUUAACGAAAUAAUAAAAAGAAAAUAAUGAAAAUAUAAGAUUUUUAGUAAGCUAUGACAUUUUCCGUUCAUUAUAUAAGACUCGAUUAAUCUUUUAGGUUAAAAGUAUUUUAAAAUCCUUUUUGAUUUGUUUGAUAUAUUUUAAAAGGAUUUUUAUUAUAUUAUCGCCCAACUUUUUUAUCAAACAUUUAUAUUGAUUUUGAUCGUUUUAAUUGAACAUUAGUAAACAUCUUUGACACAUGGAUAACGAAUUACACUAAAAAUCCAACAAAACGACUUGUUUAUAAUAAAUUUGAUAAAAGGUCCCCUCAUAUAUAUAUAAUAUUUGUUGCUUAACAUGUCGCUACAUUAUCAAUUGAAAAAUGUGAAUUUGGAUCCCAUGCUAUUAUUUUUGUUGAAAAUAAAAAGAGAAAAUCAAAUACUAAUUUUGUCACAUGUAUAAGUCAAUGAUUCUAAAAAACAAAGUAAAUCAAAAGUAAUAAAAAAAAAGGGUGAUCUCAUUUGGAGAAUUAUAAAUAUUUCAUAUAUAUACUUUUGUGUGUAUGUAUUUAUAAAUUUAAAAGUAAACACCUAGUCUAGGAACAAUGUAUUGAAAUUCUAUAUAUUGAAAGAAUCAUUUGUCUUAUUUGUUAAUUAUAUAAAUUUUGAACUUAAUCCGACUAUCUGAUUCUAUUAACAAAAGAAAAAUUUGUUUCUUUCGUGUAUUUAAAUUUAUAAAUUAUAGUGUUUUUCUCUAUUACUUACUUCUUAAGAAAACAUGAUUUUAUCAAUCUAAAAUUUAAAUAUAUCAAUCCCAUAAACUAUAAUUGAUAACUCGAAUUUCAUGCACCCAAAAACAAACAAUUGUAUAUCAUCCCACCAAAAUAAAUUUCUCAUUCAACCACAUCUCUUAAUUUAUUUAUUUUUUUGGUUUGAGUAAAAGAUUUAAUUAAAUCUGUAAUUCUUUUUCUUUGGGGGGGGGGGGGGGGGGGAGAUUUUGAAGAAAAGUAAAUAAAUAAUUUUUAAAAAUAAUAGAAGAAUUAUGGAUAAUGAUUGAAGUAUGUAAAUAUUUUAUUAAAUAAUAUCUUAAGAGUAGGGAAAAUAAAAGAGUUGUGUAAAAGAAUAAUGAAUUAAAGGUUGAAAAGGGAAAAUAAAGAAAAGAGGUGGCAGUGACCGUACGGCUACGGGUGUUAUGUGAAACGAUGAAUAUUAUGGAAAACGACGGUUCCAAAAAGAUAACGUCUUAUCUGUCAUUUUGUUCCUAACAGGACAAAACCUCCAAUAAAAUAUAGAUUCACUAAAUCUUCUAAUUAAUCGGAAAAGAAAUAUAUAUUUGUCGACAUUCUCAUCCAUAAUAUACAUACAAUUAUUAAAUUUCCAUUUCUAUUUUUAUUACAUUAUACCCAAAAAAAAAAAAAAACUAUCAUAAACAAAAAGAUAAACAUUGAUAUGAAAUAAUAUCAAUAAUACAAAUCAUCAGUCGGGUUUUAUAGUUUAUUCGAAAUAAUUGAUAGGAGCGUGGUUCAAAAAAUUAAUAAAUUUUAUAAAACAAUCGUGGAAGAGGAAGCCAAAAAGAAAAAAUUGAUAAAAAAUAUGAGAAUAAUUUUAAAUAUUAAAACAAAGGUUAUAAAUAAAAUAAUAAAUUUAAAAUAAAUAAAAACUUAAAAAACAAAUUGAAAAAAUUAAGUUAAAUUUUAUAAAAAUAUAAAAAUAAAAUAAAAUAAAUGAAGUUGAAUUAUGUAAUCUAUUAAGAAUGUUUGUACUAAAUCGAAAAUAAUAGAUAUAUUUAUCAAUUAAAAUAUAUUUCUUUUUAUUUUAUACUUGUUCCAAAAUAUUGAUCAAAAUUGAAAUUGAUGUAAAAUUAAAUUUUUGAUAUUUAAACGAAAAUGAAUUUGUUAAUAGCUUUUGCUUUAUUAGUUUAAGAAUCAUAAUGACGUAAUUAGAUUAGAAGCGUGUUGGAAUUUAUUUGAUAUUAGUUUAAUGAUAGUGAAUAAUGGAUUGUGACUUUAAAAAGUCAGUAUUAGUAAUUUUCAAAGAAGCCAAAAACUCAAUAUUAGUAUCAUCAAAGUCUCAUAAAUUAUCACAUACUCCUAAUUAAAUUACAAUAAUCCAUCUGAAUUUAAACUAUUUUUUAUUUAAUUUGUAUUAUAUCCAAACAAAAUUAAAACAACAUUAAUUAAUAACAAUAAUUACACACUUUAUUUGUUUUACUUCAACCUAAACAUUCUUUUUUUUUCGAGUAGUUUUGGAAAUAUUUAUAAAUAUAGAAAAAAUUCAAUAUCUAAAUAUAUCAUUCGUAAGUGUUUACUAAAGAUUAGGGUAUGUUUAUUCCUUAGGAUGAUAAAUAAUCUCAAACUCAAACAUAGAGAUUCAAUUUUUUUUGUUUUGAGUCACCAAUUUAGGUUUCAAUUUCAUGUAAUAUUCUAUUUUUUUAAAAAAAGAAUAUCAAUGAUUAUUUUUUUAAAAAAAUUGUUAAAGGUAAAAAAUAAUAUUGUAACUUUUACAUGGAAAUAAAUAAAUAAAUAUAUUAUUAAACCAAAUAAAAUUAUGAGAAAGUGAAAGGAAAAAAAGAGUAUGGAGAAAGAAAAUAAAAGUGUAGUACACUUUCCUUUUUGGUUUUUCUUGGAAGAAAAGAUAUGCAAAAUAGGAAUAAAGUGCUAAGAAAAAGGACAAUAACCCAUUUAUUGGGACCUACACAAAAAAAAUAUCUUCAUAAACAUAAUAAUACUUUGAUUCGAAACCUUUUUUUAAUUCCUUACACUUUUUCUUUGCACUUUUUUCACAUCACUUCAAUUAUUAAUCAAUAAUUUAAGAGUUGUUUCGAGGAUUAAUGAUUAAUAAUACUCUUUUAAUUUUUUCAUAACAUGCAAAAUUAUAAGUAAUAUAUGUAAACCAUACGAUUCACUCUAUGGUAAGUUAUGAUUGACGGAAGAAUCAAACCUCUAAUUUUGAGAUGAAUAAUAUAAGUACUAUUUUUCUUAACAUUUUAGAUACUCAUAUUAUAAUAAGACAUGAAGAUGUUUUUUAUUUAUAUACCAACAUAGGCACAUGCACCUUUUGGAUUCGUUCUAUGUCCAUUUGGUACAUUCUACAAGAAAACAAUAUAUAGUUGAAAUGGGAAUAAUCAAAAUUUCCAAAUGCAAAAACACAACAUUUCAAUAUUGCUGAGGAAAAGGGGGGGAAACUGUAAGAUGGGACCUAAGAACAGUUGAAAUGUGUGAAAAAGUGUUAAGGUAAAGGGGGCAAAAAGAGGAAGAAAAAUAGUUGAUAUCAUGUUUUUCCUUUUGGGUCCUUUCUUAGUGAAAAGAAAAUGAUGAAGAAGAAGAUGAAAAGAUGACAACUCAUACAACCUUAAAUUGUAUCCUUAGAAAUAUCUUCUAAUUUUCUCACAUGUCAACUUCUUUCACUCAUGAAUAUAUAUUUUUGCCUUUAUCUCUUAGAACAAUUUCCACAUGCUUUAGUUUAUCCAUGGCCCCAUAAUGGUUCAUGGGACACUCAAUUCUUCUUUAUCUUCAAAAUGCUCAAAAGGGUUUGUGAAAAAAUAUUGGAUUAUUUCUGUCUAUAACUGCAAAUUGUGUAAACGUUUUUCAAAGAGAGAAACUUAGAACUUUCACUAAGUGUUGAGGAACUUGCAAGUUUAUGAUUCCAAAUGAAUCAAAAUCCUCCUUCCUAUCAUCUUAGAGGUAAAGUGGUGUUAGAUUUAUAUGUAACCACUUAACUUAGGAUUGUAAAAAAUUCUUCAAAACUAGAAUGUCUCUCAAUCUUCUUUAUAGUUUUGGAUAUAUACUUUCACAUUUUCCUAUCUUUUAGGAUUUCAGUGUGCUAUUAUGAACAAGUAAAAGGACAAAAUUCUUACUGUCGUCUAUAGGAAACACCAUAUUCAUGCCUUCAUGGUAUGUUUCUCAUUUUGAUCAAAUGAUAAAGAGUCCCUACUCUCUUUUCUGCUUCGAUCUCUGGUUUCUUUAUCAUUCAUUAUUCGAGAUUUCAUUUGAAUUAUUACUUAUAGAAACAUCCUGCCAAAGAACUCGAUACAGUUCCUCUCGAGUUCUUGUCUACACUAUAAGUAGAAUUGAUGAUACACGAGUAACGACAAGGCAGGAAAAGGGGUUGUGUCAGUCUUAAUGAACAAGCCGCCACCCACAAUCAAAACUGAAUCAAAUAGGUCUACUUUUUAUGUCAAAGGUUGUAAAGGCAAAUACUGAUCAUCAUCAUCAUCAUCAUCAUGUAUUAAUAAAUAUAUUGCAGCAUCUUUCUAAGAAACCUAUAUUUCAAAUGGCUGAAAAAGAAAUGGAUUGAGAGAAUAACAUAUCAAUUCAUUUAUAUUCAUGACAAACAACAUCAGCCAAAGAAGUUGACAAUGAAUACAGUAACUUAACAUAGUAGUACUGACUGACAGGACUGAAGAGCCUUUACUCACACCAACUCCUAGCUAUAAAAGCGACACCAGUACUACAUCCAGAAGUCAAACUAGAUAGUUCAAAGCUUUCGUCCUCCGCAACGUCUCUCCCUUAUCAUUUUUUUCCCGUAUGGACAUCGGUUGGUCAUUGUUGCUGAGCCGAGAAGUAUUAACCCAAGUCUUCACCAUUGGUUUAGAUAUUUCUUGAGUGAGAUUAUAGAAAAUGAGAUUGCUUACAGUGAGCUAUAGCUCCUUCAAUAGAACGCGCCAUCUCCGAACUUGCGCUGUUGCAUCUCUUGAGUAUUUGUGGAUCAAACAUACCACUCGACGAGCUCAAAGAAAAUGAAGAAGACGAUGAAGAAGAAACAGAAGAAGAUAGUGAAGAUGGACAAGAAGGUUUAGUUGUAGAGAAUGAGGUCCUCCUCUGGUUUCUAACUCUGUUUUUGUCAACUAAUGUAGCUGUAAAAUGGUCUUUUUUAAAGCUUAAUUCUUUUCUUUUUGGCCUAUUUUCUGCUAAUUUUGCACAAGAUUCAUCUGUACAGGCAGACUUAUUGAAAAGGGACCAGAUAUAUGCUCGUGAGGCCUUAAGUUUCUGAAAUAAAGAGGACUGCUUAUGCUGUCUCAGCUUUUGGUGGCCACCCAUUUCAGUAUUUAUCCAAUGCUCAACAGGUUUUAGCUCAAAACUGAACCUGCAAGACUCGGCAGGCGAAAAAUUAAAGGACUGAUGCGGGGUGUAAAUACUUGCAUUAGCAGAGGAAGCAGAGGAGCUAGAGAUGAAGGAGAUUUGGAAGUUUUCUCCAAAGUGAGGUUCAGUUUCAUGGUGAGCAUUGGAGUUGUUUUGGAUGAGCUUUUGAACCAUUUGAAUGCGAGGUGGGAGAUGAAGGGGAAGAAGCUUUCCCUUGUAGAAAAGCUCAUCAGCUGGGGAAAUGGUGGUUUCUCUUUCAAGAGAGACCGCAUUCAUUUGAAACUCAAACUCUCUUGCUUGAGGCGGAGAGUUCAAAGAAUAACAGAAAUUGGAAGAGGAACUUAUAUCCAUUUCUAUGUAAUCCUCUGUGUAAGUAUAUGAGAAUUGUCCAAUGGCCAUCUCCACCUUCAACUUUUCUUUCUCUCUCUACUUAAACUUAAUGAAGGUGUAGAGGAAGUGAUACUCUUUGAGACGAAGAAGGUCAGAAUUUAUAGUAAAACCGUUCAAUGUCUCAAAAUACUAAAACCUUAGAUAUUUUGAAUACUUCCAAGAAGAGAAUUGUAACUGUCUAUUUAACAUGUGGCAGGAGGAAGAAAUAGAGGACCAUUUAACAUGAGUGUGGUCCUCCAUCAAAGUCAUUUUAUAUCACAAGUCUAUGAUUGAAUUAAACGAACUAUGUAAAGGGGAAAAAAAAUUCAAUGCAAAGUAGAAUAGAUAGUGUAAACUGCUGAACUAUCUCAUGAAGUCUUUCAUAUUUUUACUCUGAGCUUUGAAAGACUAGAGCAGUAACUGAAAGGUGACUCAAUCAGAUUGGAAAACUUUCACUACAUCACUUGAACAAGAUCUGUUUGUUCGAUAGGUUGUAUAUAUGUAUCCAUGAAUUCAAAAGAUUGGAAAUUGAGAGAGUAGGCAAUAAGAAAAAUGUGAAAAAGAAAUUCAGUAGACAAAACAGCGCCACCGGCCCUUGUGAGUGUUUCUUGGGUACUCUUUUUAAGAAAUCAUGUCAUAGUAGAGAUGUUUCUCUCAUUUUUGGUCUAUUAUCUACCACAUUUUUUCAUUCCCUUGGCAUAAAAUCAAGCUAUAGAGCAUUUUAAACAAAGAAAAAAAUGUGCAUGAGAAAUAGAGGAUUUAAAAACAUUUCAUUUUUGCAUUCUGCUAUGUGUAAAUUAUGAGAAAUAUGAGUCCCACUCAACCUUAAAAGGCAAAAGGACAAAAGUUAAACACUUUCCGGAAAAGAUAUCUUCAAAAAGGAAGAAAGAGAAGACUCUUCUAGAAAAAUUCAAGCUAGUGAUAAACACGUUCGAAGCAAUCAGCAAAAGGCCUAGAAAGAGAAAAAUAAAAUAAAAUAUAUAAAGAAAUAAAUAAAAAGAGGAAAAGAUCCAAGGGAACACCAACUAAUGAGCUCUCUUAUUCAACCAACCACUCUUGUCUGUUACUUGAAUGAUAAUAGAACACACUGCAAGAGAAUCUCCCACAACUUCAGGAUGUUGACAAUGUUGUUGUUUUUCGCAGCCAAUUCCAAAAGAAAGCAACAGCCCCCAAUAGGCUUUUAAGACAGUGGUGGGAGAAAAGAGAGAGUUGAUAGCGACUUUGAACUGCAAAAUGAGAAUGCCUGUACUUUCAUGGGAAUUUCAGGAUAGACUAAGGUAUUCAUACCAAGUAGAUUGUUUCCAUGUCUACUAAAUUCUUUUUCUGAGCAUUUGCUAACAAGUGGAAAUUUUGGCAUUCAUUUCAUUUAAAUUGUAUGAACCGUUUCUUCUGUACUGUUCUUUUGCCAGACAUCUGAUAACUGGCACUAUGUCCACAAGGCUUACUUCCAACUGAAAGUUAGCCCAAAUGUCUAAAGGAAGUUUCUUGUAGCCCCACAGUCUGAGAUGGCGGGCACUCGACUCUAGAGAUCAUCUUCGAAAAAGUGUCAAAGCCGUGUUCUUGAUGGCCCUUUGAAAAGCACACUUAUUCUAGUUAACAGUACAUUUAUAUAUAUGACCUUUUGACUGAGAAUAUCAAUGUCUUAACCAUUUAAGCUAUGUUCAGGUUGGUUAGUCCCUUUAAAAAGGUACUAUAACACCAGACAAUCACUAUAUUCAACUUCAAUGUAAUAAGUUCUUGUUAGUUCCCUCACAUAUAUAUAUAUUAGUGAACCAAGUGAUCUAAAAAAUGGUUUGACGCCUAUUUUGCGAUAGGUUUUGUUAAGCUGUGACUUCUACAACGUAGUCUAGUUCUGUUUUGAUCACCAAGUACAUCUUCAUCCUCUAGCCAUAACAACCAAACCCUUUAACAUCUUCAGUUAUUUGGUGUUUUUGAAGUAAAUUAUUCUUACAUUAAAUUUACAUGUUCAUUUUCUAAAAUGAAAACCUGUUCAAAUGUGUCCUAAUUUUUUGAAAUAGACGGGUCAGGUCGUCCCAUUUCUGAGCUUUUUAAAGUUCUGUCCCUAAUUAGAAACUUUCCAACUUUUCUUGCUUUCUUUUUUAACAGAGAGAUGAGUAAAGGACUGUUAUAUAUAUUACAUCACAUAUGUCCAUCGUUUGAUCUUUCUUCAUAUUAUAGGAAAGAAAAAGACUUCUUACAUUAUAUUAUAUGGUUGUUCUCUUUCAUUUAUUACCUCACCAAUCUUUUCAAAUCGGCCAAAGAAAAGAUUGUUGACACAUUUGGUUUUAACGUAUUAUAGAUUUGCUUUUCCAAUUUACCUUCUCAGCAAUUAUGGACCUUAGAAACUCUCUUAACACACGUCUCCAAGCCAUAGCCAUAGGUUGUAUCAACUUUUCUCAAAGUAUAGCUGAGCCGCAAGGUUUUGAAGACUUGUUAGAAUCACAUUUUUAAAAUGCUUUUGGAGCACAUCAUUUGAGAUCCUCUACUUUUACAGAAAUAUAGCCUUCUCCGGUAGGCCAACUUUAUUGUGUAAUAUGACUUGUUUGGCAUCUUUCAUUCUUCUUUUUUCUUUUUCUUUUUCUAUUUGUGUAAGUGCCUAGUUUAACUUGUGCGUAUUCACUAUUCUCAGACAAAAACUAAAACUAAAAACUACUUGAUAUUUGACAAAUAUAAUUUAUAAAGUAUUAAAUUUUAGGGAAGUCAUCAUGGAUCUCAUCGACAACCACUAGACUAAUCCAAGAUGGCUAAAUAAGAGGAUUAUUUGGAUCCAUUGGAAACAACUAUUGUUCUCUCUAGUGAGCUAACUUGUUUGGUUUGAAAAGAAUACGAGAACAAUUGUGAGUCGAAAAAGGUCGUAGAAGAAUGCUUUAAAGUUUUGCAUAAGAGAUCAUUUAAUGAAAGCUUACUUUCUUAUUAUUCCUUUCUUCUGAUUACUAAAGGCAAGAGUUCUUCAUUGAGGUUUCUUGUCGUAUCGCCUUUUGGCCUACCUUUUUAGCCCUCCUGUGUAUUAUUUUAGGUGCCUUAACAAAAGUAGCUAAUAAAGAAACAAAAGCAGUAUGCCCAAAAAUUGCUCAAACUUUUGCACUCUUGUUUAACUUCCCUCAUAUAAGGACUAAACCUUCAAACUCAAUUUAACAGUCUUUCUUUUGCAAAUCAUAUUUGUAUGCUGAGGACUCAAUCGUCACAACAUUAAAAGUUGAAAGACUAAAUUAUUAAACGAAACGAAGAGGGCGAACAUAACAAAAAGUGCAAGUUCAGACAAAGGAAACAUACUUCAAAAGGGAUAUUUAUGGUAGAGGUGAAUGAAAAAAAUGAGAACAUAGAUAGCUCUACGUGGAAGUAAAGGCUACUUCAGAUCUGUUUGGAAGAUGAGAAAAAAGAAGAAGAAGAAGAAGAAAAAUUAUGCAAUGGCUACCUCUGAUGAAUGAAAAGUUAAUAGAUACUGUUUGAUAAUCUCCAACUAGGCGAAGACAUUGACAGUGCUGUGGAUUUUCUCAGCAAGUUCCCGAUAGAAAUUACGUAUUUCAAAACAGCGGAAGGAAAAGGUGGGAGGACAUGGUUUAAGAGAGGAUAAGGAUGUAUCAACACUUUGGAAGUUAUGUAGUUUGUGUUAAGUGUAUGAUCUUAUGGGUAAGUUUCAAAAAAACAGAGAGCAAGUAGCUGUGUCUUUCAGUGUUAUUAUUUUUCUCAUUACUAGAACCAUCCAUAGACAUGUCUGCAAAUGAAAAGCCAGCCCAUAUGUCUAAAGGAGGUUUCUUUAAGACCCACACUUGAUUAAGAUAGAGAGAGCUGCCAUUUGGGGUGGUUUUAACUUGGUCCAUAUGUUGGGAGGUAAAUUGACAGGGCAUUAAAUAUGAAGUUGCUAUGCAAGCAGGCACAAAGUGUUUUUUUUUUUUUUUUUUUUUUUUUGGGGGGGGGGGGGGGGGGGGGGAGAAGAUGGUAACAUUUAGUUUUGUACCCAAUUUUACUUUUUAGUAUAUAACAACAUUUCAUGUAACUAAAGAACCUCAAAGCAUCACCAGCUAGAACAAAAGUUUAGGUUGAUUAUUCUGUAAAUUAAUGAAUUAAGAGCAUCUGAAUGUAACAAAACCAAAAAGGAAGCAGAAGAAGACAAGACAAAUUCAACAAACAUCUUUACUUUUAUUCCACAGGAACUUGCUUGAUCCACCCAAAUAGCUACAGCUUCAAACACUGCUCCAGUGGCUCUUUCUGUCAAAAUUACUUGUGGAAGAAAACAGAGAAAAUGUGAAGAAUUUCAAAUACUUCUAUCUCGUGUGGAAGAAAAGGCCGCUUUGAUCUUUUUUGUCAAUAUAAACCAGUCUUCUCUAUUCAAUGUCAGGCAACGGUACUUUCCAAAAAUUCCAAGCGUUAUAGUCUUCCUGCAAGGAUACAAAAUGAUUACAGCACUGUUAGUUGCUAACAUAACAAAAUCGGUCCGGACUCUCAAGCUGCUUGGUCAUAUCUUAAGGAUUUUGCAUUCAUUUACCUGCUCAACCAGUGAGGUUGGCGGAAACAUGUCGUUAACAAGUGUGUGCAAAGACGUGUAAGACUUCACAUCGAUUCGAUGACUAAUGGCCACUUCUCCCUGAAAACAGAUGCAAAGUCAAAUUGCUAUUCAAUAAAGUAAGGAGAAAAGGCUAAUAAAAGAUGGAUAAUUAGAUACCUUGGGGUUGAUUAUAAAUAUCUUUCCUUUCGGAAUCCCAACUUUUCGGUAACUGAGCUCAUCUGUGUCUCUAUUGCCAAACCCAGCAUAAAAUGGAUUGUAGUCAGGAGGGAAAAGCUUCUUAAUGUCCUACAUUUCAUCAGAAGAAAAAUAAGAAAAAUAUCCCAAUCAUCAAGAUAAUUAUGAAGAUCAGCUAUUCAAUUUUACAUCUUUUUACCUCUAAACAUGCAAUCUUAAAUUCAUGCGGUGCUCUUCGUAUCACUGUCAUAGAUAAACAAAACCACAAGUCAAUUAUAUCUGCAGAUAAAGCAGCAAAAAUCAACAAUAUGCUCAAGUGAAAAGACACAAAAAAAAAUUCAUGCUGAAGGAGGGGAUGAAAUGACCAUGUUUGGUAGGCAGGAAAUCAAUAUGCCUCAAAAUAUUUAUCUAUAUGACUCUCCAUGUUGACAAUAAACUUCACAAGAUUCUGUUACCUCGGUUAAAUGGCCUUUUUGUAGAAAUUGAAAGAAAGGUAACAGAAUCGAGAAGAGAUAAAUGCAGAAAGAGUAAAGUGGUUGGAAAAGUAUUGGAGGGAUGGAGACUCUUGAAUUUCUUGCUACUUUGGAGAUAACUAUUUUCAUCUAUUGAAGUGAGUAAAGUCUAGAUCUAUCAGUGUUAUUGGAGCUUUGAACAGUGAAUGAUGCAGAAAAGUCCCUAUUCCCCACCACUGAGAGGAGUUCUUGGUAGAGCUACCAAACACUGUAUGCUAAAAACUUGUCUUGUAUCCAGUUAUCAUCACAUAAUGAUUGUGAAAGCUGAUGAGAUAAAGAAGUUUUUCACACACAUGAAGAAAUAGCAGUUGGGGCAAUCUCGAAGGUUUUCUUAGAUGAACAGCAAGUAGAAUUUAAUCAAGAGAAGCCCCUAUUUGUUUGAAAACUUGAGUAUAUGAGUCAAAUGGUAUCUCCUCGGGGAUAGCAUUCUAUAAUCUAUCCUCAGCUUUUGCUUUGCUUUAUCAACUGUCAUAUUCCUAUUAACCAUCUGGGUUGGUCUAGUGGUUGAAGGAGACAUAGUUCCAAUAGCUAACUAAGAGAUCAUGGAUUAGAUUUAUGGUGGCCACCAAGAAAUUAAUUUCCUACUAGUUUCUUUGGCACCCAAAUGUUAUAGGGUCAAGAGGGUCAUCCCAUGAGAGUGGAGGUGAGUGUAAGCGGGCUCAAACACUCAUGCAUAUAAAUAAAAAAUUAUCAUAUUCCUAUAAAGGCUGCUGAAGAAGGAUAGUUCCUACGAAAUCAGUGCCUUCAAAGAAAUAAAAGAGUAUAUGGUUCAUGUCCUUGAUUUAGCACUACCGGAUUUCUCUGAAGUCCUUAACUAUAGAACUGGAUACUUAAUGGAAGGCAAAGUACUUGUGCAGGAACAGAACAAAUAGCUUAUUUUAACCAAGCAUUUUCAUCUACAUAGAAACGCAAAGUUAUCUCAAAAGCCACUUACUGCCUGCUCAACAAUGAACGGAGGUAGUAGCUGAUGCAAAGAGAAUGGAUAUUCAGUAUCCAGUUCGGGACUUGAUAUUUCCUAAACUUUGACUCUACUGACAGAUAGACUUGGCUAAGGUUCUUUCAGAAACGUUAGCUACAAAGUUCAGUCUUCCAAAAGUAUCAACAGCUGCAGCUGACGAUUGUCCGAUUAUACUAAUACUAAUACACUAAAUGCCCCCACAGAAGGAUUAACUCUUCGCAUAGCCAUAUUGGGAUACAUGUACUGGAGGCUGCUUAAAGACAAGAAGUCUUGUCUUAAUACAUUAGGAAUUUCAAGUUCUAACCUUCAUUAAAACAAAUGUUCCAUAAAAUUUUGUGUAAGAGAUAUCAACUUCUCUAAAUAAAGAAGGGAUUUCAAGUUCUUCCUUCACUAAAAACAAAUGUUUCAUGAAAUGUUAGCAUGUAAAAGAUCUCACCUUCCCGAAAUAAAGAAGGAAAUAGUCCAUCUGGUGAGAUAACGAUCGGUCCAUUUGGUAAAGCUUUUCCAUCCUGCAGCGUAGCAGAGCUAUUCAUCAAAUUCAUACCUUCCUAUAAGUUCAUAUGAAAUCAAUUUUGUUUUAUAAAUAAAUAAUUAUAAAUUAAGGAAAAAAACAUCAAUGCAAAUAAUCAAGCAGAUAGAGAGAUCAUGAUGAAACAAAUCAAAAUUUCCAGGUACUGGUCUGGCCUAGGUCAGGUCAAUGUUUCAGUUGUUUCUGUUGUUUCUGUUAAAAGGAAGCAGUCACCAGCGAUUUAUAUCAAUGGAACCUGUUUUAGGUUGAGUAAGAAACUUCGGGUAAGAUAUGCCUGAACAAUGGCCCGCGCACUGAGAAACAGCAGCUGAUAACCGUUCUCCUGAGUAAAGUCCAAUACACCACAUCAGAUAAUAGCUUCAGCAGAGUAAACCACAAUAUUGUAUUCAAAUGAUGCAGGUCAAAUACACGAUUGAUUAACACAAAAAAUUCAACAAUCUUAAUCACUAACUAAGUUUUUUCACUAGGACUGAUCUCAAUUCGAUAACGUAGCUGGCAAUUCUAUGACUGCUCGAUUUAGUACACAGAUAAUGGAUUAAUCAUUAAAACCAGUUAAUCCCAAACCAACUGACACGCUAUACUCUAAUUUUAUAGUUCAUUCAGCCUCAAUUUACUUCAUAUAGUAUACACAUCAAAUAAAGAUGCAGCCUGAUUCAGACAUUGUAAUAUCAUUUUUCAGCCACCUCUACCCCUCAUGGACAUAAAUAGCUAAAAACUGAACUGUAAAAAAUGGAAAUGGAUUCAUCUACGAAACAACAUUUUGUAAGAACAAAUGCAGAAGUUUUACCUUAAUUGCGGUAAAAAGUCUAGCCACGCCAGAUUGUGUCCAAUCCUUCCCAACUAAGGGCAUGAAUUGACCUAAUACAUCAGACCUGAAAAUAUGAUUCAAGGUGAAUUAUAUUACCAAAGGAUCAUUAGAUUCAUUACAACUCCCCCCCCCCCCCCCCCCCCCCCAUAUAUAUAUCAUCAAAGCUAACGAUUUUACAACAAAGCAGAAAAGAUGUUUCAGUGCCCACUAUUAUAUAUCCUUGGAUGGUCAUACAUUCUCUUCCAGAGAACACAGAUGACUAAGAAUUUGGACAUGAAACUAGUAACCCUUGUAUUUUCUUUCCCUCGUCAUGUUACACCAAAAGAAAGUGGAAAUAGAAGCUAAGAACUUCAAAGAUUUAAGGGUAAAGAAGUCUCACUUAGUAAUAGUCCCAUCGACAUCAGAAAUCACAAUUCUUGCAUUCCAUUUCCACAGAUAAAUGUGAGCAUCAACCUGUUAAAAAAAAUUUUAGCAAUGACAUAUAAAAUAAUACAAUAAAGUGGUUGUCAUGUACAUAUGCAAUACUGAGUCUAAAUUGAAACCUUUUGUGUCCCAAGAACCCUAGUUGAAAAAGUGAAAGCUAUCAUAUUUUGCCCUUCUUUCAGAUUCAAAGAUGCUAUCUGCUCUGUUGUUGGAACAUUUGUCCUCACAAGCUGUCUCUUAGAAGUCUCAUUGCAGCCAUUCUGCAACCUUGGACUCUGUUCUGCUUGUGAGUUCUGUAAUGUGGAUUCGGAAUCAACAAAAAUUUCCUCAUUUGAUGAGUUACUGUUACUGUGAUCAAGUGUUUUAACUUUUCUAAAUGCAAUAGGCCAGAGCCUCCAUCUUCGGCUGGAGGGUGUGGGAGUGGAGUCAUCGUCCCCAGCCCUCAGUGAGUCAUCCUGUUCCACGGGGAUUGCAUCUUUGGGAUCCACUUUUAAAUCAACUCCAAAUGCAGCCAUCCCCAGUACUAUAGGAGCAGCUUUUUCCCAUGACAUGUACCUUUCUCCAAAUCUGACAAUUAGAUUGUCAUUUUUAAUAAUUGAUGAAGCAGACAUUUCAAAUUCCUGUGCAGACACACGAUGUGCGUCAAAGGCUUCAGCUGCAGCAUGCAAGCCCAUACCAGAAUGAAGUUCAUGACCGCAAAGUGAGAUCUCAAAACCUGCAAAUGGUUGAAGUAUUUAGAGAAUAUAGUCUGUGUUAAAGUACUGAGAAAUAGUUAUUAAUUUUAAAUUUGAAGAUGCCUGUUGAAUGAUGUUGUGUUCUUCCACAUAAAGCAUCUGUUGGAGAUUCCUCCAACUGCCUUACAUUGCAUUCAUCAUCAGCAACAGUUACAUUGCAUUCAUCACCAGCAACAGGCCCCUGCGAACAGCUCUCCAUUCUUUUAGCUCCCUCAAUUGUGUCAAGCUGUUCGCCAUUCAAAGGAUCAUUAUUAUGAACACGCUUGUCAUCUGAAGCGGCUUGCUCUUCACCAAACAAAUAUCCCUCAAUUCCACCAGCUUUAACAAGUAGCUUAGGAGUCGUAUUGACCACAGAGCUAUCAGAAUCACUACCAGAAUGAGUGCCAUUUUUAUCUUUGGAAUCGGUAACACUCCCAUUGGUUUCAGAUACUGAUGGAACAAUCAUGUCGAAUUUUUCUUCCAGUUUUUCAGCCUCCCUUGGGGAGAUGACAUUUUCAGAAUCAGUGUUUCCAAGCCGUUUGGCUAAUUCCGAUAGUUCCAAACAGCUCUUAAAAAUCUCUUCCUCAAUUAUAAUACGGACAUCUUCUGAAUCACUCUGCACAAGAUCAUCUUCCUGAACUUCAAUGCCUGAGGCUGAGGUUUCUUCAGUUUGAGAGACAUGUUUUACCUCCUUUUCUGAAACCACUAGCUCAUAUGCACUACCAUUAGACUCGUUGAUCAAACCAGCAACUUUACCAGAAGUGUCGUUUUCUGUAGAUGUAUUUAGCUGGUUUAUAUAAUCUGCUGCCCAGGCAUUUUCACCCGUAAAUUCAUUGUCUUCACAAAAUUCUGUCCCUUCACCAGGUCCCAAAUGAAACUGAGGUGUACUUAACUGCACAUCUUCUGUAUUUUGUUCAGUUGCCAAUAUUGGAGCAGUAAGUAUGUGACCAUCCACACUCACUAGGAUAACCUCUGAAUCUGUACCUUGUGACUCAGCACAACUCUCAUUCUCUACAUUAUCGUAUCGAUUAGAAUCACUCUCUGACAACUCUACCAAAUCCUCCACAGAAGACUGCUCAUCCUGAAAGUCAUAGAAUCUAUGCUCAACAUCAGAUUCUGCCCUCUCAAUUCGUGCAACUCCCAUAGAACUGCUUUCAUCUCGUAGCUGAACAACAGUAGAAUCAGAGAUACUAUGCUCCAGUCGACCUUUUACAAACAAAGCUUUAUUGUGUUCAUCCUUGCUGUCUCCAUAUAUCAAACCAUCCUUAACCAAAUCAUCUGUAACUCCAUCAACCUCAUUUCCUGGACCAACUUCUGCUUCCUUUAUGAAAUAGGCCUCACCAGAGUUAUCAAGAUACAUAUGGAAAUUGGAUUCAACGCCAUUGACAGAUAUUCCGACGAUCUUCUCGGCACCCUUUAAAACGCCCUGAAAUUUACCAAACCGAACAUACCAUGGAGUGCUGCGGAAAGUCCCAUCCUGCUGCUGAACAACAAUUAUAUCGACUGCCCCACCGAAGGGAUGAAAUGGCGUGGCAACUGAAUAAACUCCUUGUGAAAUGAGACUCCCAACUUUGCCAACAACGUUCAUUUGGACGCCUGAUUAUUACCCUCUCCAAUUUGUGAGAAAUACGAAUUAGAAAUUCACUUUCCUUAGUCUGUUUCCUUUCAAUCAAACGUGGCAUAAUUUAUAUCCUCCAGUACUUGUGAAAUGAAUUCCACAAUUUGAAUACUUCUCGAUCUUUUGUUAUAAUCACCAGUCUACCGCAUCUACCAAGAAAAUUUACUACAUUUAAAUUCAAGAACAAUAAGAGAAAAAUAACAAUUACAAAGGCAAAAGGAAUAGAGUCAAUUCAAGCCCUAAAAAAGCAACCAAUUCUUUAUAUUGAAACUGUUGAACCAAAAAGAAAAACUUUCCAUCCAUCAUUUUCAAUCUAAUCACAAACAACAGAAUGAACCAUACAACUAAAAUCCAAAAAUCAAAUCCUUUCUCCAUGAACAAACCAUUCUUCUAUUAAUUUGACAUAGAACUCAAAAUCUUGAAACGAAUCAUCACUGGACAUAAAUGCAUUAUCAAAUGAAAAGAAAAUCAAAACAAACCCAAUCCCGAUCAUGCGAUAACCAGAAGAAGCAGAGAAAGAAGAAAAAAAAAUUUGCCGCCAAUUUCGACCGCUAAAAGCUAAAACAACAUACAUUCUUCAAUCUUUUCUGAGACAUUCCCUUGCUGGCAAUGAAAAAAAAUGGAAAUUUAAAGGUUUGUGAAGAUGGGUCGGAAAUUGGGUGUCGUAAAAUUUGUUUAAAGAAUGAUUUAGACGACAAAGAAAUCAAGAAAGGGAGAAGAAGAAAAAAUAAUCCAGAAGAAGAAAUCUCCUCCAUGGAUAACCAUAAGCAUUACAUAGGUAAAUGGGGGUGGUGGAAAUACCAAAAUAACCUCUUGAGAAAGGAAAUUAGCGAUCGGAUCCGAGAGAUUUGAGGCAUUUGGGACGUUGAUAUGAUGAGAAUAAGAAGGGUGUUUUGGAGAUUAAGAAAGGUUUUCGUGUGUGAUAAAAAUGUUUGUUCUAAGGGUGAUGAUAUUGGUGGAACCAGACAACUUCAACCUCGUGGAAGUCGUGCAUUCAAUUCAUCUCAUUUUUCAAAAUCCAUUUAAAACCUCAUUUUCUUUCUUUUCUUUUUUAAUUCUCUUUUACCUAUCUCGAUUUUAAUCAAUUUAUUAAUCAAAUUUUUGAAACAAAAAAAUAGUUUUUCUUUUUUUCCCAAAAGAAAAUACAAAUUUAUAAUAAAAUAUUUUUAUUUUUUUAUCAUUUCUUCAAAAGGUGUUUGCUUCUCACAAACAUUUUCUCCCUCUUUUCUCUCAACUUCCAUCUUCAUACCUCAUACCUCAAAAAUGUGUCAAAAUCACAACUCUCCUAUGUCUAUAAUUUUUAGCCUUCACAUGAGAUUAUAUUUUUUAUUUUUAGAAAUAUAAUAGUUGUUUUUUUAACUUUGAUUAUGAGAGUUCUUUCUCCAAAAUCAUUUUGCUUCUGACAUUUUAUCUUUUCCAAUUUGGUUUAAAAUAAAUUGUUGCAUUUAUAUCAAACAUGGGAUUUGAUUCCUUUUAACGAUUUUUUUAAAGGAAUUCUUUUUUAAAAAUUCAAACACUUUAAAACUAUAAAAUAAAAAAAAAUUGAAAUUUGGUUAAAACCAAAAAUUACUUUUUUUUUAUGAUAAAAUAACUACACAGUAGCUCACUUUUUAAAACACACAUAGUUUAAUUGAACUUUUGAGAGUCAUUGAAUUGUUACUUAUAUUAUUUUUAUAUAGAUUUUAUGGACUUGAGCUUGGUUGGCCUAUGAAUAAGAUCUAUUGACUAAAAUAAGAUCAAAUUAUAUCAUCGAGACACAUGUCAGCUUUUAAUUAGUUUCAAAUUGUUUUCGACAUUAAUUUUACAAUUUUGUGAUUAGUUUAGAAUUCAUCUAUAUAUAAAUCUAUUUAUGUUUACUUUGACAUCUUUUAGUACGUGUAAUUACUUUGAUUGUCCAAUGUAUUUUAAAAGUUUGUUUUAACCAUUUAGUUUUUUCUCUCUUUGAAAAAUAAAUUCAUAGGAUCCAGCAUACAUUGAAGAGGAAGAAAUACUGAGGAACAUACACAAAAUAUGUUUAGGUAAUAUGGAUAAUAGUGAGCUUGUUCAUUGGGCCUCGCGAUAAAGCUCAAAUUAUUUUGGGCUUCCAGUUUUUGGUCCAUAUAAUAAUUUGGACAGAUUGGGGCGAAUCUUUUAUUAGUAUUAUUGUUUUUUAGGAUAAUUGCAAUGGAUGGUCAUUCGAGGAAUGAUGUAAUAACAUUUUUAAAAAAUUGUAAAUAUAACAAAACUAUUGCUAGACUCGUAUGAUCUAUCGCUAAUAGACUAAUUUUUACAACUUGAUAUAUCAAUGAUAGACUUUAUCACUGAUAGAAUUUGACAAAUUUUGUUAUAUUUACAAUUUUUUAAAAAUGUUGUUAUAUACUUAAUUAUUUUGAAUUUAAUUGCUAAAUUUGCAACUAUCUCUUAUUUUUAUCUAAUUUGUUAAAUGGUCUAUAAGUUUUAGAAAAGUUUGUGUUUUUAUUUCACUCAUCAAAGUAAGUGUAAAUCUAAAAGUUUAAGAUUUGAUUUGUAAUUUAACUCCAAAUAAACAAACAUAUCGAAAAAUGUUAACGUGAAUUCUAAAUUAUUUCGAAAUAGAAUAUUUACAUGCGGGUUUGCAAAAAUAGAAAAAAAAAAUUAUGAUGAUAAUAAAGUUGUGUUACUUACAUUUUGAAACUAUAAAAUUUAAAAGCAAAUUAUCGUUUGAUUACCAUCAUAUUUACCAAUUUUGCAAUAUGCAAAAAGAAAAAAAAUGUUAUGAGAUAUUUUUUUUAAUUUUUUUGUCUUUUAAUGUACCGUCUCAUGUAAUAUGGUAAAAAUUAAUAUUUUAUAAAGUAUAUUUUGUUAAUUUCACGUCAUUUUCGAUGAAAGUUUUACUACUUCACAAAAAUGGUUAAUUGAACUUUUUGAAAGAUAUUUAUUCCAUUUUAUUUACAGGGAAUGACAUACUCAAUUGAUUUUCAAACUACGAAAAAUAAAUCAUAUUCUAAACUCUUCACAUUUAUUCAUUUUUCAAGCUCUACGAUCUAGUUUGUGAUUGCAUUGAAAAUGUAAUAAAUUUAUAUUUCAAACUUGUAAAAAAGAAAAGGGUUUCGCAAUGGUCUCGGUAUCUAUGCAAUUCGAGAUGACACGAAAACGACAUAGUAAACAAUUAGUCAAAAAAACCACUUUAUAAUAAAUACAUCACUCUUUGAAUAACAUCAAUAAUAAACCACUAUUUUGACUAUGUAACACUUUAUAAUCAUCUUCCAAAAAGAGUUAAACAAUCUCAUACCAAAUCCUUGUUGAAAUUGGAAAGCAAGCAGACUCUUUAUACUAAGUUAUUAUUUAUUGAUCGUGACAUUAUUCUAAUCGAUUAAUUUACUUUUCAUUGGAUCUCAUCCUUCAUUAUCUGUCAACAAAUCAUUAAAUUAGUUUAGAAAUUCAAUGUGUAAGUCUUUGUAAAAACAAAAAGGCUACAAUGGCAUUAAUAUUCUUCUUUUCAUAUGGGCAACUACAUUACAAUUAAAAUAAUAGUUUGACAAUAGUUUAUCAACAUUAAUUAAUACCAAACUUUAUAAAAAAAAUGCUUUUCUACCAAAUAAAUAAUAACUUUUACUAUUAAUAACAACAUAGUUCAACUAUAAUUAAUAUUAAUAUCUACUCCAUCUUUUAUGGAUGAAGAUUCAAUUAUUUAUUCUACGAACAAAAUAUAUAUCACGAACUAGGAAAUUAGAGUAUUUGCAUAUUUUUAGAUAAAAAAAGAAAUCAUAAUUAAAAUGUUGGUAAGGUUAUAUAAAAAGAACCAUGUAAAUUUAAUUUUGAAGUUCCUUUUAUUUUAUAUCCACUUUCGAACGUGGAAUUUAAUCAUUUUAAAAGGUCAUCGUUUUUUACUUAAAUAGGUUAUAUAAUAAUCAUACUAAUAACUUCAUUUAUUUAUUUUAUUGCUAAAAAUGCAUUUGAAUCAUUGAUUUGAAUUAUUAAACUCGUACAAUAUACAUCUUUAUAAAUACAUAUAUAUAUAUAUAUAUAUAUAUAUAUAUAUAUAUAUAUAUAUAGGUAAAGGCAAAAGAAAAGAAAAUAGGUAAAUUUAAUUACAAAAUGUUAAAAUUUUGGGUCCAAAUAUGGAGAGGAGACCCACAAAAGGGGUGGAAACGUUUUUAUCAACCAAAAGAAUCCUAAGCAAAUUCAUAUCCCCUCUAAUAGUUUUCUCCAUUUUUUUGCUUUUAACUUUUUCUUUAAGUGAUAUUCCUUCAAAUCUACUUAUUACAUUUGAAAGAGAGAAAAAAAGUGUGAUUGCAUAUUACAUUUAGUUUUCUUUCUCUGACUCAAUCUAGAAUGGGGAAAAAGGAAUUGUGUUCAUUGAUAUCAAAAUCGAUGGAAUUGAAGUCCAAGAAGGAGAGGAAACCCAAUUUGACAAUUCACAUUUUUUUUGCAGUUUAUAAAUUAAUUAAACACACAAUUGAGUUUAAAGUAUAAACUCAUGAUGUGACAAAGAAAAAUGAAAGCCAACUAUUUAAUUUAUACAAUGAAGAUGAUUUCAAUCUGUUAAAAGGAAAGCAAGUUCAUGCUAGAAAUUAGUGAAAUAAACACAAACAAAAUCCAUUAUCAAUUGCAAUGAUUGCAGAUGAAGAAGAAAGAACAGAGCACAAACCAAAUUCAGAAUCAAUUACCCUUUAAUUUCUUCCACAACUUUGUUCUACCACAUCAAUAGUCGCAGCACAAGACAAAACCCUUCGAAAAAUCCCAAACAUAAUGAAACUGCACGAAAAUUUCUUCAUCUUCUUCCAAAUCAAACACUUCUCAUUCCUCUUCUUUCUCUUCCCAUUAAGAUUCAUAUUCAGAUUCAGACUCAAAUUCCUAUUCUCUCCCAAACUCCUCCUCUUUCUCUGACCUAAUUUCUCCUUCACUUUCUCCAAACACUUUUUCGUUUUCUCCCCAACGGAUUCCUUCUUCCUCGAAAACGUAUAGCUCCUCAAGUACAUUUGCCUGCACGAUACUCCAUCCACUACCUGAACUCUCCGCCUUGCUUUCGGAAUCGCCGAUUUCACGAUCUCAUUCUCCGAUUCUGUCCAAUUGUUGAGGUUGAUGUAGACCGCACGCGGUGUACGGACACUUCUGGCGUCGCUGAUGCAGAACUUCGUUGUGCAGACGGCGCUCAUCUUUGUUUAAUAACUUUUUUUUUUCCUUCCCGACGAUCGUUAAUGGCGUAGAACGGCGAGGAGGACCAGGAGCAUCGGCAGAGCUGAUACGUCCUUCGUCAUUGAUUUGUUUGUUUUUAUAAAGGAAAUUUUAGGAAAUUUUCGUCAAUAGAAACUGAAAAUGGAUCCGAUGGAUCCUUUUGUUUUUAUUAUUAUUUCUUUCAAUUUCUUUCUUUUCCAUUGUACGCAUGGACCGAUUUAUUUUAUUUAUUUGUUGUCAGUAAGAUCAACGGUCUAAUAUUCAUAUUAUAUUGCUUUCUUU